rnacentral:lncRNA from 1 species
CAAAAGAAACUUAUUUAUCACGAACGCAUACAGUUUCUUCUAAUUAGAACAUAUUUCCAAUUCCAUCGUUUUCAACACCACAACAAACUUCUAGAAAUGGUGACAACUGCCAUCCAAGACGGCCAAUUUUCGAGCUUGUAUACACAAGCUCUCGACAUUGCUGGCAACAGGCUUAGCAAAGAAUUCUAAGCUGUUGUAUCAAACAAUACCAUAUAAUCUCAUCCACAUUGACAUUUUUAAGACUCUGACACUCACAACCGAAACUUCUACAACUCAAAAACUUAGCUUCUUGAUAAUUACCAAGGUUUUCAUUUCCCAGUUAAAUAUUUUCGCCAUUUCCUCAGAGCAUCAAAUCUCUUGCACAGCACUCACGUUCCAAUUCCGUAAGAAACCCAUUUCGGUAACGAAGAAAUGACACAUAAAUAUUCAAAAAAAUUGCAAAAACAUAAAAAUUAACAGACAUGAAUUACGGAAUACGCACAAUUUCGAUUUCAUGACAGAAACCCAUUUCUGAAAGCGAAGAAAUUGCGAACAAAAAAAAGAGAAAACAAUGGAAACGAAGAGCUUGGAGGCGCACCGUUUUGGGAGGCUACCAAGACGCUUUCUUCACGCCAUUGAGCAUGCCUUUGGAGGCAAGAGAACGGAAAACGAUACGGGACAUACGGAAGGUCUCGUAGACGGCGCGUGCGCGGCCAGAGAAGAUGCAGCGGUUCCUGACGCGCGUGAAGGAGCUGUUCCGGGGCAGCUUGGAGAGCUUGAAGCGGUUCUCCUCGCGCAGAUCGCUGGGAAGGCUUGGGUCCUUGCAGAGGGCCUUGUACAGGUUCCGUCUCAGCUCGUAUUUCGCCGCCAGCAAGCGGCGGUGGUGGUCCCGUAUGUUGGCAUUUUCCUCAGACACUGACAUCGCUUUUUUGGGUCGAAUACUUACCCGCACUCUCUCUGAUUUUGGUUGAUGUCGGGUCCUAGGGUUUUAAGCUUUGGAGACCCGUCUAACCGGGUCGGAUUUUGACGACUGGCUUUUUCUGGGUAAAAAGAUUGGAGAAAUGCUAGCAGCACUCGCCUAAAAAGCGAGUCCGCAAGACUCUCCCUCCAGCACCUCCACGUGUAUUUCCACUUCCUCAGUUAAGCUUUAUAUUAGUUCCAUAAUUUUUCUAAGUUUCACAAUGAGUUAGUAACAAUGUGAUUAGAAUUCAUUUUUUGUGAAUAUCGAACAUAAGACCUCUCACUUCCAAUUGAAGAGAAAUAUUUUAGACUGUAUACUAAAUUGCAUAUUGAUUUCACAAUUAAAUAACAACUAAAAAUAAUAUCCCUCUCUUACUCUUACUCUUAGACCAUGAAAUUGGUAUUCGUGGAUCAUAAGAAAACUGGAUUAAACUAAAAAGCAGCUUACGUUUUUAGACUCGAAUCUAAUUGCCUAAAAAAAACGUACAAUUUAAAAUGAAUAGCUAUUUCCACUCGUAAUUGCACUGUUUUUAUUAUAAAACUUCCACACAUGUCGUGAUGUGCAAAACUCCAAGAUUUCCAUCAGCAACGCCAGUCACUUCUGCAUGCACGUAAUAGAGUAUGAGUUAUGCCUUGUACACUCCGUUGAAUUAGGCUAAUGAGAAUAUGAGAUUGUUGAGAUGGUAACCCACAACACCUCGUUUAGGAUUUGUUGAACUAAAUCCUCUCUAAGUUCAAAGUGGAGUUGUGCUUCACGUGUGGUUGGGAGAAAUUAGAAAAACUCAAGUAUCCCACAGGCCUUUAGCUUCACACCGAAAGUUCUUUGGAUGAUAUUAUGUAUUUGCACAUAAGAUGUAAAGAGUGGAAUAUUAUGUAUUAUUAAUAUACCAAGUCAUCAAAUAAUAUGUUACCAAUAGAAAAUAAGCAUAUUAAUAACACUUAAGUAUCAAUCCAAUUAUCAACAAUCAUAUCAUUUGGUUUUGAUUUCCCUAAUAUUACCCUAUUUUUUAGCAAAAUCUUUAUUAAAAAACAAAAUAUAAUUAUUACCUAACCGUAGGAAAAUAAAACUUAAUAAUAGUUUGAUGAAUCUUUUACCAUCUUGAUGACCACCGAUUCACCUAGCUGACAAACUCCACGUUAUCUCGCUGUUAGAAGAUUUUGGGUUCAAACUACCUUGAAUAUCGACUCCCGGCAUUUCUUGUUGGUUAAGAAAAGGUUUGGGGGGCAAUUUUAGGUUUUCAACAUCUCCUCCAAGCAUUUGUAUGACUUUGUCCAUCGAAGGGCGAUCACUUGGCUUCAUUUGAAUAUACCAGAAAGCAGUCAUAACCAUCUUUUUUAUCAUUAUAUUUUCCUCCUCUGUAACUAUGCCCCAUCUCCAAGAGAUCAUUUCCCUCACUAUAUUGAUCGUAAGCCCAUAACGGGAAGUAAAGUUGGCUCGACUGCUCUGCGACUGUACUAAAAUUCUUCCUUCUACUUGCCAUUUCCAUCAACAACAUUCCAAAAUUAUAGACAUCAGCUUUGUAUGAGACCCCUCCAAUAUUUUUGUAGAACAACUUUGGAGCAAUAUAUCCAAUUGUCCCUCUUGCUGCCGUCAAAGUAACAAUGCUAUUGUCUAUGGGAUAUAAUUUUGCAAGCCCAAAAUCGGAGAUCUUCGGGUUAAAGUUCUCGUCAAGAAGAAUGUAGGCUUGAUAUCAAAAUGUAGAAUUUGCAUGUCACAACCUUGAUGUAGAUAUUUGAUCCCUCGAGCAACUCCAAAAGCAAUCUUAUACAUCUUCUUGCAACUUAAAGGGAUACUUCCUUCUGUGGAAUAAAUGUAUUUAUCAAGAGAGCUAUUAGGCAUGAAAUCGUACACUAGAGCGCGCUUUGAUCCUUCAACCCAAUAACCAACAGGUUGCACCAUAUUAACAUGGUGAAUUCUUCCAAUAGUAGCUACCUCACUAGUGAAGUACUGCCCAUUGUUUUUAGGCUUGCCCAAAAGUUUAAUUGCCUCAAAAUGACCAUUGCGUAACUUUCCUUUAAAUGCAGUACCAUAACCGCCCUGGCCCAGCUUGUCCUUGAAUUGAUUAGUCAUUCUCUUAAUGUCCGAGUAAGAGUACCUUAUUGGCAUGAAGUUGUUUUCGGUUUGCAGAAAAUCUUCGAUGAUGCUAAACCCUGACAAAUGUCUUCUUCGCCAUCUAUAGAUUAGAAAUGCAAUCAGAAAUGGAACCCCUAAAAGUAGUCUUCCUACUAAAUAUAAACCUGCACAAGAGAAUUAUCAUCCGAGUCCAGAUAAAGGAAAUUGAAAGAGAGAACAAUUACAAGCUUACCGAGGCAAAUGAGUAUCGCCCAUCCAGGUCCUGCAACAAAUAUGGCAACAGUAUGAAUUGUCAAAAGCUUGAGCAUAAGUUAUAAAAGAGUCUCAAAUGAAUAAAAUCAAGGACUUGUAUUGAAUUUUUUAUGUAUAUUUCAUAUAUAAAACAGUUACAAGAUCAAACAUAUAUAGAAGAAGAAACAGGAAAGAAAAUGGAGGACAAAAGGUAGAGGACAAUGGCAGCUAAGCAAGCAUAAUGAUGACCUCCACUCUCUCUAACUUAAGCCACUAACUAGCUUUACAAUGAUGAGGGAAUAUUAUCACUUAACUAUGCCUAAAGUAAACAUUAAAUAAGAGAUGCACCAUGUCUAAAACAAACAGCUAACACUAGCACUAAGACUAGCCGAAAGCUGCCGAAAGUUGAGUUGUUCUCCAUCAAAACUAGACAAAAGCUUGCAUUAUUUUUCCAACACUCCCCCUCAAGCUGGAUCUAGGGGAUCCUUUGAGCCAAGCUUGGACAGAAUGCACAGAAACGGAACUGUAGGAAGAGAUUUGGUAAAAAUGUCAGCCAAUUAAUCAUGACUGCGAGUAUAGUAGGUGGUUAUGAUUUUGGAUUGAAACUGUGCUCGAACAUAAUGACAAUCCACUUCAAUAUGCUUCGUUCUCUCGUGGAAGACUGGAUUGGAAGCAAUAUGCAUGGCAGCUUGAUUGUCACAGAACAUAGACAUAGGUUCAUUGCUGGGAAAGCCUAGAUCCAACAGAAGGUUUUCCAGCCAAAUAAGUUCACAUGCAGUGGAGGCCAUAGCUUGCUACUCGGCCUCUGCACUAGAUCGAGCUACGACAAUUUGCUUCUUGCUGCGCCAUGUUACCAAAUUGCCACCUACAAAGGUGCAAAAACCUGUUGUUGACUUGCGAUCAAGAAAAUUCCCAGCCCAAUCAGCAUCUGUAUAUCCCAUGAUGGCAGUGCUAUCAUUUUUUGUCAUAAGGAGUCCUCGACCAAUACCCUUUUAGAUAACGAAGAAUUCUCUUCACAAUUUGCAUAUGAGCUAAUGUAGGAGCAUGCAUAAAUUGACUCACAAUACUCACGGCAUAAGAGAUAUCAGGACAUGUGAUUGUGAGAUAAAUAAGCUUUCCUACAAAUCUUUGAUACUUAGUAAUAUCAGAGAGAGCUUCACUGUGAGUACUAAGUUGUAGCUUGCUAUCCAAAGAAGUACGUGCAGGUUUACUAUUUAUUAAGCCAGAGUCCUUCAAAAUAUCAAGAAUGUAUUUCCUUUGAUUGAAAAAGAGGCCUUCCUGUGAAUUUGCAAGCUUAAUACCUAGGAAAUAUUUGAGACGUCCCAAAUCUUUGAUUGCAAAUUUGUUUUGAAGAGCAAGCUUGAGAGAGUGAAUUUCUUCAGUAUUGUCACCAAUCACUAUAAUAUCAUCAACGUAGAUUAAAACGAUUACUUUUCCAACUAAGCCAUCACGAACAAAUAGUGAGGAAUCAACACUACUUCUUUGAAAGCCAAACUCUUCAAGAAUGGAGCUCAGUUUUGCAUACCAUGCACGUGGAGACUAUUUCAAUCCAUAAAUGGAUUUGUGCAGUUUACAAACCAUGUCAGGGUCAUCUGAUUGAGGAUGUCCGGGUAGUAGUUUCAUGUACACUUCCUCCUCUAAUUCCCCAUGCAAAAAAACAUUCUUCACAUCCAUUUGAUAAAGAGGCCAAGACUUAUUUACGGCAACUGAUAAUAGAACCCUUACAGUGUUCAUUUUGGCUACGGGAGCAAAUGUUUCCUUGUAAUCCAAGCCAUAAGUCUGAGUAAAUCCACGAGCCACCAAACGAGCUUUGUGCAUUUCAAUCGUCCCAUCUGAGUUGAACUUAGUCUUGUACACCCAACGGCUACCAACUGAUUUCUUCCCUUCGGGAAGUUUAACUACACUCCAGGUUCAGUUGUCAUGAAGAGUUUGGAGUUCAUCCCUCAUAGCUUUUUGCCAAAUUUCAAGUUCAUUUGCUUCUUGAAAUGUUUGUGGUUCAUGAGUAUUGUCCAAGGUACUAAGAAAAGAAGUAUGAGAGGGGGAAAACUGCUUAUAGGAAACAAAGUUUGUAAGAGGAUACCUAGAAGUGUAGGUGACAUAAUCAUGUAGUUGAAGUGGAGGCUGUCGAACCCUAGAAGGGUUUCGACGAAUUGGAACUUGAGGUUCAAUAUCUGUGGUUUGAGAUGAAUGUAGCUCAUGCAAUAGAGUUGGUGGGUUACGUGAAAUGAGACUUUCUUGAUAGAGAGGAACACUAGGUAAUGGAAACAUGUCACUAAAAAACUCCCCCUAAUCUGCAUCACUUAGUUUCUUGGAGAAGUAGGGCAUGUUUUCAUCAAAUCUCACAUCCCUUGAAACCAUUAUUUUCUUUGUGAUUGGAUUGUAACACUUGUAGCCCUUUUGGGUAGAUGAGUAACAAAAAAAAACACAUUUGAUUGCUCGAGGAUCCAGUUUAUCAUGGUGGAGAGAUUGGUUGUGAAAAAAGCAAGUGGACCCAAAAACUCUCAAGUGUGAGAGAUCAUUCUGUCUGUCCUUCAACACUUCAUAUGGAGACUUGAAACUGAGUACUUUACUAGGCAACCUAUUGAUUAGGUAGGCAACUAUAAGUACUCCUUGUGACCAAAAUUUCUUUGGCACAUUCAUAUGAAACAUGAUUGAUCUUGUCUUCUCAAGAAGGUCUCUUCUCUUUCUUUCAGCAAUCCCAUUUUGUUGGGGUGUGCCAACAUAUGUUGUUUGGUGCAGUAUGCCAUGAAUACUAAGAUAUUGAGACAUGUUAUGGGACAUGUAUUCAGUGUCAUUGUCGGAUCUUAAUAUAUGAAUUUUUUAUGCAAAUUGAGUACCAACUAGUUUGUGAAAAUCUUGAAAAACAUUUGAAAGUUCACUCUUAAAUUUCAAAAGAUACAACCAAGUCAUCCUUGUAAAAUCAUCAACAAAGGUUACAAAGUAUUUAUAUCCAUCAAAGGACUCUAGUAUUGGACCCCAAAUGUCUGAAUGAAUGAUUUUGAAAGGAUGGCUAGCUCUAGAAGUGGAAGAAUCAAAAGGCAACCUAGAAAACUUAGACAAGUGACAAACAUCACACUUUAACUUGUCCUUACAUAUUUUUGGAAACAAAAAAGACAUUACUUUAUCAGAAGGAUGUGCCAAACGUUGAUGCCAAAGUUGUUGGUCUUGAAAAACACUUGAACUGACUUGAAAAAACUUGGGAUUCUUAGUGUCUUUUGCCAAGUAGUAAGGCCCAUUCAACAAGAAACCUUCACCAAUCGUUCUCUUGGUGAUGAUAUUCUGAAAAAUGACAUUGUGAAGGGAGAAAAUGACUAGACAGUUUAGAGAAUUGGUGAUAGCUCCUACUAAUAGAAGUUGAAAAGGAAAAGAAGGUAUGUAAAGGGCUGCUGACUUUAUGUGUUUUGACAAUAAGUUGAUUUUUCCUUUUCCUACAAUUGUGGCACCCUUCCUAUUAGCUACUAACACUUGAGAAAAAUUUGUCAUUUUUGUAAAAUCAUGUAAGUUAUUAAUUUUAUUUGUCAUGUGAUCCGUGGCUCCUGAGUCAAUGAUCCAAUAAUCAUGUCCAUUACUAGCAUUUAGGGCAGUAGAGAAGGCACAGAAAAUACUUGGGAUAUCUUUCUGUGAAACAUGGUCAUGUUUAGCCAGAAAACCAGCAAAUUUUCCAAGUAAAGCUGUGUGAUCCUUCUCUUCAGCUACGAGAGCUUCAUCUCUAUUGUUAAGCACUGUUUGUUGUGGAGAUAUGCUGCAAAAUCAUUGAUUAAUGCAGCAGGAUUAGUAGUGAAAUUCACCAUUCCUUCUGUCGACAAGGUAGCUGCAUGGUUGGCCUUGUAGCUAUUGAUGUUCAGAUAUUUUUGUGUACCCUUUAUCUUUGGACCUUUUGUCUCCUUCAAGAACUUAGGUUUCAAUUCCGGAUGAAGAAUCCAACAUCUGUCUUUUAUAUGGCCAAGAGAAUCACAGUAGUUGCGCUUUAAAUCUGGUCUUUUUCCCUUGUAAACUUUGCCUUUAGGACGUUUGUUGCUAAAGACAUAAGCCCUAGUCUCAGAAACGUUGUCUUUAGUCUCUUGAUUCAUGACUUUCCUCCUUUCUUCUUCCCUUUGGAUUAUGGCACACACACCAGUGAAGGAAGGGAGUUCAGCAUUCAUUAAGAUGUGACUUCUGAGGUCUUCAAACUCUGGACCUAAGCUUGCCAAGAGUUGAAAAAUCUUGUCUUCUUCUGCUCUCUUGAUUAACACAGUGGCAUCAGUGGUAUGAGGACAAUAAACAUCGAGCUCAUUCCACAUGUUUGUAAGACUACCAAGGUGUUGAACAAAUGCUUUGCUUCCUUGUUAUAGACUUGCCAGAUUCUUCUUAAGCUAGAAGACACGGGCAUCAUUAUUUUGAUUUCCAUACAUCUCUUUUACUUGUUUCCAAAGAUGCAUGGGUGACUCGAAAUAACUGAAAAUUUCAGCAAUCCUUCGCUCCAUUGAAUUGAGCAACCAAGACAUGACCAACUGAUAUAUGCACAGCCACGACUCGUAUGUAGAAGAAGUGACUACUGGAGCUUCAAUAACACCAUUUACAUAGCCAAGCUUUGAUCUUCCUCCAAGUGCAAGAGAUACUGCACGACUCCAGGGAAGGUAGUUGAAUUCAUUCAACAAAACAGAACUGAGACGUUGAUUAGGAUUGACCUCAACGUCAGAAAAUGCUGGAGCAUCCAUCGAGCUUUUAGUUUCAGAGAGUUCUUCAGCCAUCUUGGCUUAGAGCAAAAGAAACUUAGCGGAAACGAUUACUAAAGUCAGGAAUUUAGAGUUCCUGCUCUGAUACCAUAUUGAAUUUUUGAUGUAUAUUUCAUAUAUAAAACAAUUACAAGAUCAAACAUAUAUAGAAGAAGAAACGGGAAAGAAAAUAGAGGACAAAAGGUAGAGGACAAUGGCAGCUAAGCAAGCAUAAUGAUGACCUCCACUCUCUCUAACUUAAGCCACUAACUAGCUUUACAAUGAUGAGGGAAUAUUAUCACUUAACUAUGCCUAAAGUAAACAUUAAAUAAGAGAUGCACCAUGACUAAAACAAACAGCUAACACUAGCACUAAGACUAGUCGAAAGUUGCCGAAAGCUGAGCUGUUAUCCAUCAAAACUAGACAAAAGCUUGCAUUAUUCUUCCAACAACUUGAGAUAUUAUAUGCAAGAAAUACAAGUUCUUAUUGAAGGAUAUCCCCGGAAACCAUAGAGGAUUAUCUGCAAGAAAUGUAAAAUCCAAAGUUUGAGAUGUGCAAGCCCAAAUAAAUGAUGGUAAAAACGAGCAAAAAACAAAGAAAAACUGAGUUUAAUGGGACUGCUCUAGCGAAAGACUUGUAGCUUAGUUGGUUAAGAACAUUCAUCAUUUCGCUAGAGAUAGCGAGUAUGAUUUUUUCCUCUCCCAAAUAUUAUUUGUGUAAAAGAAUAGAAAAUUGUGACUGUUCCUUGGAUUGACAAUUGUCGUUUAAACAAAAAGAAGAAAAGAAACAAGAAAUGAAAAAACUUUUGGAGAGAACGUUCUUACUAACGUAUAAUCUUCCAUGAGCAAGAAACCUAUUACUAAUGUAUAAUCUUCCACGAGCAAAGAAACCUACAGAGAUGAAAUCAUGAAAAAAAAAAGGCUUUUUAUAUUAGGAAAACUAAUGAAAAUGGCUUGAAAACUUUGAGUUUUAAUGAUAAGGACAAAAUAAAGGGUAAAGUGAAUAGUAUCAGGUUUGACUUUUUAGUGUAAAAAUGUGGUUUUUCGUUAAAGUGAACAGUACUGCGAACUUUUCGUUAAAACUCCCUUUUAUAUUAGCACCUCACAAAAUAUUGAAUGCACCCCACAUAAAAAAUUAAUAUUAAAUGACUUAUUUACCCCACUAUGCAACGAUAAUUUUGACCUUAUUAGAUUUAAAAAAAAAAAUUCUAAAUACACCCCAAAUCACUUUUAGCGUAUUAUUUAUCUUCUCAACUAUCAAAACCCAGCUUCACAUGAGGUAAGACUUCAUAUUUUUCAUUGUUGUAGUGAUUUUGAUGACAUCGAUAAUUAUUUAAUCUUGCGUUUGCUGCGUUAUUUAAACUUCUAUAUUCAUAUUCAUCUUUUAGGGAUCACAAUGAGAGUUUACAUGAAAUCUCCUUACCUUGUCCGUCCAAGAAAUUUUUUCUCCAAUUUCUCAAUGUUUGGAAGUAAUGGAUACCAAUGUUUUCCAAGUGCCCCACACUGCAGAAAUGAAGUUCGUGAAAGUCAAAAAUUGCAUACCUCAAAGUUAAACCUAACAAUGAAGCCAUCUGUUACCCUACCUAGCAAAUCAUCAUUUUGAAAUCAUUCGGCAAACUAAACGUUCAGAUGAUUUAAAAUCUUUCGGCAAACUAAACGUUCAAAUAGUUAGAUUCAGUCCCUAAAAAUAAAAAAUCAGUGUUAUAAGAUUUGAGAAACGUGGGAUGUAUAUACAAAAUAUAAGGUGUAUAUAGAGAAUGUGGGAUGUGGGGUAUUAUGGAAAAGUAUGUGGGGUGUAUUAAGAUAAUUUUUAAGUGAAAAAGCAAAUGUGGGGUGUAUUAAAGAUGUGGGGUUUAUUCAACAAUUUGUGGGGUGUUAAUAUAAUGAGCCAAAAGAAAACAUUAGUCCACAUUUAAAAUCAAGUUUUGACACAUACUCACCAAGAAAUGGUGUUUGGUGCAUUUUACAUUUUUAUUGUCCAGAUUUUUGUAUGAUAUGUACAGAAAAUCCAAAAGGGUUGUUUAAUUUACACCCGCCACAUUGUUGAAUACACCCUACAUACAAGGGAGGAAGGGAAAGUUUUCAGGUGAAAAAAGGCGAUAUAUGGUCUCAAGCAGUCUCCUCGGGCUUGGUUCGAGAUAUGAAGUUACCUCACAUUUACUUUUUCAACUACAACUUAUCUUAGUGCACCUCACGUACUUUCCUAUAAUACCCUCAAACCCCACAUUCUCUACAUACACCUCACACUCCCUACACCCCACAUAUCCACAUCCUAGGUGCAGCCUCAGUGUCCCAUGGAGAAGCAUCGCCUUACGAUCCUAUUUAAGUAUACAAAUAAAUUUGGAAAACUAGACAAAAAUUGGUACCCGUCAACCAGAACCCGCACAGAUUAUCUUCGAAUAACAUGAAUUUAUUACCUCCGAAUAACAAAAACUUGCCGCAAUCGAGUUUGUGAUUUGUAAUACAUUCAUUUUGUGAUCAGGUGUUUUUUUUUAAUGGGUGGUUCUUACUGCCUUAGCAAUGAUAAAGGUAAGCAGGAUUAGUUUUCCAUAACUAGUCAAAGAAGUACUGAACUAAACCAAAUAGGUUCCAUAACCAGUCAAAUUAAAACUAUUUUCUUUGAUAAGGAAAAUCUGCACUCACCAAUAUUUGGUUACAUAUAUAGAAGGCCCUAAUUUGCAUAACGAUGUCGCUGAAAUCACUAAAACAAUAAAAAAUUAUAAGGACUUACUUUAUGUGUCGAUAGGGGUGUAUUUAGAAGUUUCAUUUAAAAUUAAAAAAAAAAAACUUAUGAGCCCUAAAUAGUCAUUGCAUAUUAGAGUACAUAGUUAUUUAAUAAUGAAUCUUAAUAUGGGGUUUCUAGUUGUGUUUGGCUAAAAACUUAAAAAGUGUUUUUGACUCAUAGAAGCACAAUUUGAAGAAACAUUGCUUCUUAAAAAUUGCACUUGGAUUUUAAUUAAAAUUUCAACAUGUUUAUAAUAACAAAAAAAAUUAGCAGAAGUUAUUAUGAAAGAAAUCAAUACCAACGUUAUUUUUAUAUUAAGUCAUGAUCUAUUUGGUAUUGCUUUCUUUCAAAAGCAUUUCUGCUCAACUUGUGCAAAAAAAUGUUUUUCGUUAUAAACAUGUUGAAAAUUUUCUGACCAAUCCAAUUGAUUUUUCGAAGAAGAGGUUAAAGUGCUUUCUGAAGUGCUUUCUGAAGAUGCAUUGAUAUAUGAGCGAAAAGAACUUUAAUUUUUCUUUCAAAGGCAAUUGGAAGCGAUUUUUACCUUUCAAGAGCAAUCCAAAUAUGCCCUUGUCCAAAUAUAAUUAACUAAUUCCUAAAAGGGUUACCUGUUGUUGUGAACUCAGAAGCUAUAACAGAAUAACAUUGGAUUAAAAAAAAUAAUAAAUACAAAAAAAAAGGGAGAUUAAUUUUUGAGACGAACUCCCUUACCGUAAAUCACCUCCCACCGAUAUCGAAAGAAACCUACAGGGACAAAGAAGAAGACAACGUGUUUGGGUUAGAACUUGAACUUUGAGCUCAAAAGGAAGUUAGCCCAAAAGAAGGUCUAGAAGGAAAGAAGCCCGAGGCUCAGUCGAAGCCCAGAAGGCAGGAGAGGCCAUUUUUCCGACUAAGUGCAGAUCACUUAAGUCACUUGCUCACCUACCUAGAGGUCAAGUGGUAUAGACCAUCCAGCUAAUUAGCCCAAAAGUACUUUACAAUGGCAGUACAAGUAAAAAGUUGAUGAGUCACUACCCUUCAGCUGCAUUCGGGCAAGAUUGAUGUUGCAGGCAGCCAAGCCAAAUCGUCUAUAAAAGAGGAAGGAGAAAUCAAAGAUAGGGACACUCAAUCAAACAAACAAAUACACAAACUCUGCUCAAGCUAGAUUUGCAUACGAAGCUGUAGUCAGCACCAAGCCUUCAUCAUUUUCAGGAUCAACCUUCACCAGAAGUCUUUGUAAAAGCUCUGCUACCUUGUCUGAAUCUCGAUGUAGUAUCGAUUCCCUCCUAUAAACUCAUCUCCCAAUCUCCCUUUCUAGCACUCAAACCCUCUAUAAAUCAGAAAGAGAGGAAGUUGCAAGACAAUCAACCUUACCCGACAAGGUGAAACCUUGCCCAACCCUCUUUGUCCUAUCUUUCCAUUCAUAAAACUAGUAAUAUAAUGUAUACUUCCAUCUGUAUCCAAGUUAUUUCUAGCAAGUUUAUGAUUAAAAGACUUCUUGGUUCUUGGAUCUGGCCGGUUUAAUGGUGCCCAAUCAUGCUUGACUAGAUCUAAGUUCUAACCUUUCGGGCAUAUAAGAUUGAUCAACCAAAAGUCCUUGGUCUUAAGGCAUAAAAAAGAACUUUAUGUGGACUUAACCCAUCCACGACAAUCCUUGAUAACAAGAAGUCCGAAGUUACUUGGGGCGCAAGUAAUUACCCUAUUUCUUAGUUUUGCUCCUGUUAUAUUAUGAUGUCAUGGAACGCUUGAGUAUAGAAUUAAUUCUGAUAGGAAGCCUCAAGGCCUAUAUUUAAGGCCCUACAAAGGCACCUAUCUGGGUUCGUUCUGCUUUGCGGGCUCGGGUGAUUAAAGUAUAACAAUUGUAAAACUUCUGCAACAAUAAAACAACUACUAUAUCUUCAAGUACUAGGUUAGUUUUGAUUAUGAGCCUCAAGGCCUACACCUAAGGCCCUACAAAGGCACCUUUCAUAGCUAACUUGGUCUUUCGGGCAUAUACGAUUAAACUAAACAUCUGUUUUACAUCUGUCAUGCUAAAGAUGGCAGUGGCAUGCCUGAAUACCUAAAGUUAAUUUUGAUUGUGAGCCUCAAGGCCUACAUCUAAGGCCCCCACAAAGGUACUUUUCAGGAUUAACUCUGUCCUUCUCUUACAGCCCGCCAAUAAGCAGAAGCCCGACAGACAAUAUCAACCGGCGCCAACCUCUUGGGGAGCUGUGUGCUCGUCGGCCAGGAAACGUCCCCACCAGAAAUUCCUCAAGACGAACAUAGUUUUGGCACGCCCGGUGGGAUUUCUUGAUCAAAUCUUACUUGUCAAAGCAAUAUGUAAAAAACAUCUGAAAAUUUAAAAAGGGCAGCUGUUCCAGAAAAAAUCAUUAAUGAAGACUUGCAAACUACAUUGUUCCAAAUGUUGCAAAGAUUGGAAAACGCCUCUGCAGGCUUCAGAAAGAAAACAGACCUGGUGAUGGGACUAACUAUUCCCAUAUCUUUACCUCUACUUGGGGGAAAAGAUGAUGGGGAAGAAGAAAGGAAAAAGCUUGAGGACAACCAGCCAGAUGAAGAAAUGACCUUGGCAAAUAAUCCACCUAGCCCAUCAAUAUUCUUACAGAAUAAUCAGGGGCAAGUCGAAAUAAUGGUGGACAAGCAUCCAGAUCCAUUUUCAGAGGCCCCAGUCAAUAUGAUUAAUUUAGCAUGGGCCGAGAAGGGGAAAGGAAAGGUUGCAAGGGAGACAGAAGAAGAAAGGCCGGCUGACAAAUCCACAAAAGGGGUGAUCAAAUUGCCCGAACAUCCAAAAGCAGCCAUAAUCAAAGGGAUGGUUCUGUGCAGUAGAUGCCAAUGCGAAUGUGAGCUCGAAAUACCGCCAGCAGGAGUUCUCAUUGAUCAUGAGUUGAUCAGAAGGAAAGAAGAAAAAGAAAGAAAAGAAGCCCGCGAGAAGGCUAGGAGGAUAACAGGAAAAGAUACUUCCCGAAGUGUUUUUCAGCGGUAGGGAGGGGAUUCCCAACCUAGAGCUUUAUCAGAAAUAUUACGAAAUCAUGAAGCUUCUGAGGAAGUGGAAGACAAAGAGGCCAAAGGUUCAAAAGAGAGGGAGAUAAGGCAUCCCCAAUAUAGCCAUACAAAAAGAGAAGUUAAAAUGAAUGAUAGGAUUGUCAAAAAGGAUAAUCCUGCUCGUCUCGAGCGAAAAUGGUACGUGGUCAGAAAGAAUGGGUAACCCGCCAAACAAAUGGGAGCUUCCAUGAUUGGAAGGGUCCAGAGGCAGCACAAAGCCUACAUGAACUCUUUAAAGACUUCUGCGACGUCUGAAGCCUCCAAGAAUCAAAAGUUUGAAAAAACAUCAUCUGAGGGAAGUAGUUAGUUCCACUGGAGGAGUAAAAAAGAGGUGGAGAUGGCUAAUAGCAAAACAGAAGGCGAAGGAAACCAUGUACCACAAAGCCUACACCUUGGGAAGUACAGGAUCUUGAGGACAACUCAAGAAGAUAUGAUAAUGAUGCCAAUUCCUGGAUAGAAGACAGGGCCUAUUUGUUUUGGAACUAUUUCGCCCGAAAUGAGACUCUCUUCUAUAUCAUUGGUGGAUCUUUUCGACGAAGUGCCAAAGCAGAUACUAGAUUCAGGCAUAAAUUAACAGGAAGGGGCACCAUAACCACUACUCCCAGAAGAUGCGAUGGCCUGGUUAAAUGAGUUUAUGGGCCAAAUCGGGAGCAAGAAAUAAGACUUUCCAAAACCUAGCAAUUUUCAUGUCAACCUAACGUAUGUGUUAUCUGCAAUGUUUGGUGCCGGGCCGGAUCAGCCCGCCGCUAUGGAAAGUGACUAUUUGACAACGGAGCCAAUGAUGGCCCAUGUCAGUGUUGAAGUAGCUAGAGAGGGAGAGUUGGGAAAAGUUGAAUCAUCUGAGACAUCCAAGGAUGGUCUAUUAAGGAUCUAUACGGAUAAAAUGGUGUUCAGCCGCCCAAAUAUGUUGCUAGCCAACCAUCUUAAGCCAAUAUAUGUUGCAGCUCAUUUGGAGGGGGUGCCUUUCAAAAAGGUUUUGAUUGAUGGUGGAGCGGUUGUUAAUGUACUACCAACCAAGCAAAUGAAGAAGAUAGGGAGAGGUGUAGAAGAUCUCAUUCCCACGAACUUCACAGUGUUGAGCUUCUCGGGCGUUAUCACCAAAACUCAUGGGAUUUUGCCCUUAGAAGUGGACUUGGGGUCCAAACAAAUCAUGUUGGCAUUAUUUGUGGUGGAUUGCGCUUCAACCUAUGAAGCAUUACUCGGAAGAAACUGGAUCCAUCAAAGUCUCGCCAUACCCUCCACUCUAUAUCAGCAAGUUAUUGUUUACCAUGAGGCAGGGACGGAGGGAACAUGCUUUCGGGAGAUGGUGGAGGCCGAAUCACGACCAUUUUUCCCUACAGCCAAUGUUGCGGAGGCAAGUUUCUACAAUCCCAAUGUAGGAAUUUUGCAAUGUUCAGGAGCAUAUGAGAACGACCGCCCUACCAAGGUACGAGCCAAAAGCUCUUAGAAUAAGGAAUGCUCCUCACUAGAGAAGAAUGGGAUAAACCCUGCAUCGUCCCAACAUCCCAAUACCAUUAAUGAUAGAACAAAAGAGAAAGGAUCAGGUAAUGGCAGUCAGGUCCCUAAUCAAAAGACUGUUGGUGUGGGAGAGGAAAAAAGCAAGAAAUGGAGCUCUUAGAAAAAGAAGAGCAGGAAUGGCAGCUAAGAACUCCGACCAGCCAGGAUAAAAGCAGAUAAGAGCUUUGCGGAGAAAAACUGAAUGCGGCCAUACGAAUGGCCGAUUGCAUAUAUGACUUGGAUGGGCUAGACGACUUGCCCGAAAGCCCGAAGUUAGUCGAAUUUUUUUGUGCGCAGAGCCUGACAAGCCACCACCAGAAGUUCAGGAUCCUUUGGAAGUCAUUGACUUGGGGACAGAAUGAGAUCCAAGACCUAUACAAAUUAGUGGUUUGUUAGACACUAAUGAUCGGGCAAAGAUUGUCUAUCUUUUGCAAGAAUUUAAAGAUUGUUUUGCUUGGCAUUAUACUGAGAUGCCAGGUUUAGAUUCAACCUUGGUGGAACACAAAAUGCCCAUCAAGGAGGGAUAUAAACCUAUUAAGCAAGCGCCACGAAGGAUGUCAAAAGAAAUAGAAGAAAAGGUCAAAGAAUAAAUUGAAAGACUAGUAAAAGCUGGAUUUAUUAGGCCUGCCAAAUAUGUAGAGUGGUUGGCCAACAUUGUACCCGUUUUAAAAGCCAUAACAAAAGCAAUACGAUGUUGCGUUGAUUACAGAAAUAUUAAUGGCGCUAUACCAAAAGAUGAAUAUCCCAUGCCCAUGGCUGAUCUACCUAUAGAUGCAGUGGCAAAACACAAAGUCUUAUCUUUUAUGGAUGGAAAUGUCGGGUAUAAUCAGAUAAAGAUGGCCCAGGAAGAUAUACACAAAACAACUUUUAGGUGUCCCGGGCAUGUGGGGGCAUAUGAAUACCUAGUUAUGCCAUUCGGGCUCAAGAAUGCUGGUGCAACCUAUUAAAGGGCAAUGAAUGCCAUCUUUCAUGAUCUGAUUGGCCAUAACAUGGAGGUGUAUAUUGAUGACAUCAUGGUGAAAUCCAAAACAGAAAAGCAGCAUCUGACAGACCUCAGACAAGCUUUGACAAGGAUGAGGAUCCAUAAGCUAAAGAUGAAUCCAAAGAAGUGCGCGUUUGGAGUGAGAGCGGGCAACUUCUUGGGAUUCCUGGUUCAUCAAAGAGGUGUAGAAGUGGACAAGAGCAAGUUUCGGGCAAUAAUGGAGUCGCCUUUGCCCAACAACAAGGUGCAACUUCAGAGACUGCUAGGCAAAAUUAAUUUCGUAAGGAAAUUCAUUGCCAAUUUAGCGGGCAAGAUCCAGCCGCUGACUCCUCUGCUGAGACUGAAGGAUAAAGAAAAUUUUGAGUGGGGACCACCACACCAAAAGGCUUUCGACAGCAUCAAAGCCUAUUUGACUUCUCCACCAGUGUUAGUACCACCUCAAAGGGGAAAACCCUUAAAGCUAAAUAUUUCUACUUCAGAGAAAUCAAUUGGGAGUUUACUAGCCCAAAACAAUGAAGGCGGGAAGGAGCAGGCGGUGUACUACCACAGUAGAAUUCUGACUGUGUAUAAACAAUAUACUCCCCAAUAGAAAGAUUGUGCCUAGCUAUGUAUUUCACUGCUAGUAAGUUGAGGCAUUACAUGUUACCUUGUCACAUGCACAUCAUCGCCAAAAUAGAUGUGAUAAAGUAUAUGUUGUCAAAACUAAUGCUAACAGGAAGGAUUGGGAAGUGGAUUCUUGCAUUAUCAGAGUUUAGCUUGCAAUAUGAACCCCAAAGGGCGGUCAAGGGCCAAUCAAUUACCGACUUCUUGACAGAGCAUCAAGAGUCUCAAGAUGAGAUUGUCAAUAUACCGGGGACCCUGGAAGUGACUAGCAUUUGGAUCACACCAGGCAAGAACAUCUCGGGCAAAAAAGAGUGGGUACAACAAGAAAUAAAAAGAGUAAAUGGCCUAUGGAUUACUCAUUGGAAGCUGUAUUUUGAUGGUUCUUGCACUCAGAAGGCUUCUGGAGCUGGGAUUGUCAUCAUAAAUCCCCAAGGCGUUCACCAUUAUUACUCGUUCCUCCUAAAUUACCAAGGGAACACCAACAAUCAAGUAGAGUAUGAAGCCUUGAUAAUUGGUUUGGAAAUCUUGAUAGAGCUGGGGGCAAUGGAGGUAGAUGUGUUUAGUGAUUCAAAGUUAGUAAUAAAUCAGCUAAAUGGAGAAUACAAGUGCAAACAUAUCACCAUGGCUGGGUAUUACUUGGCGGCCACGCAAUUAUUGAGCUAUUGGGAUUCUGAGAUAUCAGUUAAUUAUGUCCCCAGGGGAUUAAAUCUGGCGGCCAACGAGAUGGCAUAAGUAGCCUCAGGAGUACCAAUCCAGGAAAGGAAAUAUGGAGUAGAUGUUGAGAUUAAAAGAAGAAAUCUUCCUUCUAUCCUAGAAAGGGGAUUCAGUUUAGAUAUAAUGGUUCCAGAAAGAGAAAUGGAAGACUGAAGAUCGCCUAUCAUUCAUUAUUUGAAAGAUCCUUCUUCACCCACAAGCAAGAAUAAUAGACAGCAAGCAACCAAGUAUGUCUUAUGGGUGGGGAGCCUACUAAGGAAAACUCCAGAUGGACUACUGUUGAAAUUCCUAGGCCAAGAGGAAUCUAUGAGAGUAAUGGCCGAAGUACAUGAAGGAAUAUGCGGGGCACAUCAAGCUAGAACGAAGAUGAGAUGGUUGCUUAGGAGGUAUGGGUAUUUCUGGCCCGACGUAGAAAAAGAUUGCAAGUCUUAUCCCCGAGGCUGUGAAGAAUGUCAAAGGCAUGGACCCCUUCAACAUGUGCCUUCAGUACCUUUAAAUCCAAUGGUCAAGCCUUGGCCCUUCAGAGGAUGGGCAAUGGACUUCAUCGGGCAGAUUUAUCCAGCUUCUAGCAAAGGGCAUACUUUCAUAAUUGUGGCAACGGAUUACUUCACCAAAUAGGUAGAAGCUUCGGCCGUAAAGACCAUAACCUCACCUGCAGUCAAGAAAUUUAUUGAGACCAAGAUUCUGCACAGGUUUGGGGUGCCCGAAACCAUAGUCACGAAUCGCGGGUCAUCUUUUAUAUCAAAAGAAGUUGAAGAGUUUGCAAACAAAUACAAGGAAGGUAAAGCUGAAGUCUUUCAAGGAAGGAGAUUUAGUAUGGAAAACAGUCAUCCCUUUAAGAGCUCAGCUGAGGGGCUUUGGGAAAUGGAGCCCAACAUGGGAAGGUCCUUUCAUUGUUAGUCAAGUAUCAGACAAAGAAGGAUACUACUUGGCGGAUAUCGAAGGAAAUUGGCAGAAACAUCCCAUCAAUGUCAAAUUCUUAAAAAAGUAUUGUCCUACAUUAUGGGAUGUUAGGGAUUGUUAUAUUGAAGAAGAUGUAAGAUAAAGUAGGCUUCGGGGUGCCAGAGUGCAGUGUUCGUUCAUCGACCAUUCAAGAAAACAGAAAGAUAAAAGUUGUUAAAAUGAUGUUUUAUUCAUUUCGAAAAAUUCGUGAAAUUUACAUCAGAUUCAGCUCCAAUGUGAUAUGCUCAGUUCCUUCUAGUUGCAGUGAUGUCUCGACCAGUUUUUUGAUGUCUUCAUGGACAAAACCCGAUUAGGUGAUCGGGUUGUGAGGCCAAGAUGAGCUUGGUAAAUGACCCUCAAUGCGAACCUUCACCGGGUAUGAUGGUAAAGUCUGACUUAUCGGGGCAACUACCAGAAUGGUGAUCCUUCGACCAAACUUGUAAAAGUUCAAAGCUCAGAACGAGGAAACCGCCUCACUAAAGGUGUUGGGGAUAGCGGGGUGUUUGACCAAAGGUGUUGGAGAUGGUAGUUACUUGAUGAAAAUCUUUUUUCUCUCGAAAAGGGAGUUUUAGGAAACUCCACGUGAAUUAUGAGGAACCCAUUUCCCUAGUUUUAGAAGAAAACUUAGAAGGUAGAAACGCCCGAGGGUGAUAAAGUGGAAGGUUGAAGAUGAUCUGUUGGCUGGGCAUAAGAAGCUUUUGGCUUAAGUUAUUUGUUCAAAAAUGAAGAUUUGAGCCGGAAUUUAUAAGAACAUCAGAGGAUAGCUCAAAGGUCAUAUGAAGAGCAAGAGACGCGUGAUCGCAAUAAACCCGUCUAGAAGACACAAGUUCCUCAAACAGGCGUCACAUGCGCAGGCGACUAUUCAGUCAAUAUUGGCGCCUGGAAUUCCAGCCUAAAUAUUAAUUGAAGGGGGCACUAUUUGGGUUAAAACUUUAACUUUGGGAUCAAAAGGAAGUUAGCCCAAAAAAAGGUCUAGAAGGAAAGAAGCCCGAGGCUCAGUCGAAGCCCAGAAGGCAGAAGAGGCCCUUUUUCCGACUAAGUGCAAAUCACUUAAGCCACUUGCUCACCUACCUAGAGGUCAAGUGCUAUAGACCAGCCAGCUAAUCAGCCCAAAAGUACUUCAUAAUUGCAGUACAAGUAAAAAGCUGAUGAGUUACUACCCUUCAGCUGCAUUCGGGCAAGAUUGAUGUUGCAAGCAGCCAAGCCAAAUCGUCUAUAAAAGAGGAAGGAGAAAUCAGAGAUAGGGACACUCAAUCAAACAAACAAAUACACAAACUCUGCUCAAGCUAGAUUUGCAUACGAAGCUGUAGUCAGCACCAAGUCUUCAUCAUUUUCAGGAUCAACCUUCAACAGAAGUCAUUGUAAAAGCUCUGCUACCUUGUCUGAAUCUCGCUGUAGUAUCGAUUCCCUCCUAUAAACUCAUCUCCCAAUCUCCCUUUCUAGCACUCAAACCCUAUGUAAAUCAGAAAGAGAGGAAGUUGCAAGACAAUCAGCCUUACCCGACAAGGUGAAACCUUGCCAACCCUCUUUGUCCUGUCUUUCCAUUCAUAAAACUCAUAAUAUAAUGUAUACUUCCAUCUGUAUCCAAGUUAUUUCUAGCAAGUUUAUGAUUAAAAGACUUCUUGGUUCUUGGAUCUGGCCGGUUUAAUGGUGCCCAAUCAUGCUUGACUAGAUAUAAGUUCUAACCUUUCAGGCAUAUAAGAUUGAUCAACCAAAAGUCCUUGGUCUUAAGGCAUAAAAAAAAAAGAACUUUAUGUGGUUAACCCAUCCAUGACAAUCCUUGAUAACAAGAAGUCCGAAGUUACUUGGGGCGCAAGUAAUCAGCCGAUUUCUUAGUUUUACUCUUGUUAUAUUAUGAUGCCAUAGAACGCUUGAGUAUAGAAUUAAUUCUGAUAGGAAGCCUCAAGGCUUAUAUUUAAGGCCCUACCAAGGCACCUAUCUGGGUUUGUUCUGCUCUGCAGGCUCGGGUGAUUAAAGUAUAACAGUUGUAAAACUUCUGCAACAAUGAAACAACCACUAUAUGUUCAAGUACUAGGUUAGUUUUGAUUGUGAGCCUCAAGACCUACACCUAAGGCCCUACAAAGGCACCUUUCAUAGCUAACUUGGUCUCUCGGGCAUAUACGAUUAAACUAAACAUCUGUUUUACAUCUGUCAUGCUAAAGAUGGCAGUGGCACGCCUGAAUACCUAAAGUUAAUUUUGAUUGUGAGCCUCAAGGCCUACAUCUAAGGCCCCCACAAAGGCACUUUUCAGGAUUUACUCUGUCCUUCUCUUACAGCCCGCCAAUAAGUAGAAGCCCGACAAACAAUAUCAACUUGUGCCAACCUCUCAGGGAGCUGUGUGCUCGUUGACCAGGAAACCUCCCCAUCAGAAAUUCCUCGAGACGAACACAACGUUAGCAAUUCAGCAUACAAAGUUGGAAAAGAUUUUUUUAAAUUGUAAAGGUUGUUUUUAUGUUGUCAUUGUGCACUCCCAAGUCAUGUGUUUGUCUGCAUUUUUAAAUCAAACAUUGCCUUUGUGCCUGUUGAUCGAUAUUUCUACGUAGUUCCAUUUGUGUGUGUGUAUGUGUGUUUAGAGACAAAAAUUUAAAACUAAUGAGUGAAGUCAGAUACCCAAUUUGUUCUCCCUAGAAGUGGGCAAACGGGUAGAGAAACCGCGGCCCUGGAAAGGCCGAUAUCAUUAAUUUGUGGGGCAGGCCAAGUCCAGAUACAUAGAAAAACGGGUACCCAGACUAAUCCGUUUCUAAUUAUAAUGAACGGCUGAGAUUGAAUGAUAACCUAUCAUCCAAUCUCAACCGUUAGUUUCUACCCUCGUUUCUACCCGAGUCCAAGGUCCCAGAAUCACUCUUUCAGCUGCCUCGCUCCGCUCUUUCCCUCUCCUCCAUCUCUCCUUUCUUGCCCUAACUGAUAGGGUUUCCAUGUCCGUAUAGCUCCAACCUCUCAUGCAUCAGUGCCUUCAACCUUUACUGAUCGUUGUUGCAGCCUUAAUCAUUUCUGGGUCUCUCUCUUUCGAGGGUUUUUUGGCAGAAAGCUUUGCACUUUCAGCCUCCCGGAGGUUUUUGAGUUGCACCCAUGUCAAAGCUACUUGGUUUCUCCGGUAAGUCUUGAGAUUUUUCAUGUUUUUUUUGUUGAAUUUAUUGUUUUUGGGCUUAAAUAGUUGUCCGCUUGUUUGGAAUUUGUGAUUUGAAUGAUGUUUAGCUGUUAAAUUUGUACAUCAGAGAUGAAAUAUUUGGAAUUUUGAUGAGCUAGCUUGGUGAUCUGUUGGGUUUUGUUGUUUUAGUGAAUUUUGAUGAUUUUAGUUUCAUUUUUUGAAUAAUAUUUUGGAUUUAGAAUAAUAAUUUAGGGUGCUUAGAUGAAAUAGUUUUGGAUUUGAAACCCUAAGAUCUGAUCAGCCUUUUGGUUCAUGUAUUCAAUUUUGGGGUUAUUGUAUUUGUUUUCAUUUUUGGGUGAAUUAAUUGCUUUCUGAAAUUACAACAACAACAACAACAACAACAAAGCCUUUUCCCACUAAGUGGGGUCGGCUAUAUGAAUCCUAGAACGCCAUUGCGCUCGGUUUUGUGUCAUGUCAUCCGUUAGAUCCAUGUUUGCAUGUUGACAACUCAGAGUUGGGGUUAUUGUAUGCAGAGACAUCCCAACUUUUGUCUGGGUUCAACUUUGUUGAAGGGGAGCAUACUGCUUUUUGAAGGGGUUUGGGUUCUUGGCUUAUGAUUUGGUUUCGUAUUGCUUGAUGAUUGUUUAACGUGCAGAUUUUUUUAGCUUGGAUUCUUUCGUAUGUCUACAUUAUGGAACCAUCCUCACAUUCGGUUUGCUAUUCAUCUGUUAUCCUUCACUGUUUUCAUUGAAAGUUUGUCUUUGGUUUACGCUUCUUUGCUUCAUUGUCUUCUGGCACUGGUUUUACGCAUCUUGGCUUGGUUUAUGUACAAAUACUGCAGCCAGAUGUACGAAUGAUGGGAUUCACUACUAUUUGACAGAUGCUGAAGUUUGUUUGGCGACUUUAAAAUUAAGGAAUUUUCCUUGGAUAAGAUCCGACAUUUUCAUUUCAGAUGCAGUUGUCUUUAAACACAGUUACAAAGGAGGGCACUAUGUGGUUUGAUCUCAAGAGGGAGUAUGAUGCUUCUUUUGUUGUGAUUAGUUUUUUCUUUAAAGCGCUGUUAGAUGUGAUUCUAAAUGUAUGCAGUGAAUGGUGGAUCCUUAUUUCAUUGGAUCCUAGAGGAGUAUGGGUUGCUUCUAAAAUGGAGCCUUAUUUCAUGUAAUGUAUAAUGUUAGCACAAGAAUUGUGCUACAAAGAGGAGGUGGCGGAGAGUUCAUAAAAAGUCUCACUUUUAAGAGAAUGUCUUUAGCAUUUCGCUUGAUUUGAAUGUUUGGUUUAGAUGGAUUGCACAGUUUGACAAUGCAAGUAUUUAAUUUAUUGAAAAACAUAAGUUUGACAACGUAACAUUAUGCGUGGGGAAACGAGUUAAACAUAGUGAUCAGUAGCCAUGGCCUUUAUAUUCUAUGAGAAUUCACGCACCUGGGAUGCUGUGUGGAAAACAUUUAAGAUUACUCCUCCAUUGGCCUGGGCAGAUUGGACCCAGUUCAUCAACACCAUAUACUCGAAGCUCAAAUCCAUACAUGAGCGCCUUGUGUAUGUUUUCAUAAGAGGUGUUGUAGUCUUUGACGUAGCUCGAGAGCGCCCAAGUCAUCCACUCUGCACUGCAACCCUCAUCCAAAUCCCCUACUUCCAUCAAACCGACCUUGACGUAGCUAUACGUUUUUGGUUGGCUCGAAGAAGAAGCACUUGCAUCGAAGCAUGGAGCAGUGUCCACAUACAGAGAAGAAUUCAUUGGAUUCGAACACUUCAUGUAAAAUACAACUGUUGAAAGCGGUGAAUCACUUGGAUAUUUACCAUACAAAUCAUAUGGUAAAUUCAAUGUAUCAGACUCAAGCGGAAAGUUUCUCGACAUGGAGGAGCAAUUGUCGUUCUCACAAGACAGCGUAUACGGAACGUGGCUGCAGUGCUUUGGACUAUCUUGUAGUCGAAAAGGGUAGCUUAUGUUGUGAAUAUUGCCGCAGGAGAAGGUACAGUUUGUACUAUCAUCCUUUGCUCUACAAGUUUCACCGGAUAAGCCAAUGACAAGAAAAGCCAUAAUCAAUAGCCAAGCAGACCAAGUGAAGGACCUGCUUCCCCUUAUUCCCAUGGAGAGAGAGAGAGAGAGAGAGAGAGAGAGAGAGAGAGAGAGAGAGAGAGAGAGAGAGAGAGAGAGAGAGAGAGAGGAUUUGAUAAUCAAACUAGCUUCCCUGAAUUUUCAAAUUUCAUAUUGAAUGACAUAUAAAAAAUAUCCAAAAUAGAAGUCACUAGAAAAUCAACAAAAUCACAUAAUUUCAAAAAAUGAAAAGGAUUAUCCAUCAAACAAGUUCCCUGAAAAUGCAUUGCAAUGGGGUGUUAUGGGUUCUAUGGUGGUGGCGUGGAGAAAAGAAGGGGAAUAAGAACCUCUGUAGCCCAAGUCAGCAUCUUUUUUAAUAGUUUUUAAGUGACUUAGCAAUGAUGUGGCAGACAUACAAGUAGGUAAGUCGACCCCACUAACGUCAUGUCAGAGUACUAACAAAAUUAUUUACAUAAAAGUUGUACCCAGUGCACAAGGCUCAAAUGAAUAUGAAAGUUGAAUUCUAAGGGAUUAGGUGGUGAAAUUUAAGUUUUACAUAGCAAAAGUGAGAUUGAAAUAGAGUUCCAAAAAUACAAUCUGAAAAAAGUUUCCGUCAAUACAGUAAGAACAAAGCGCGCACACGUACAUUUUAAAUCACUUAUUUCCAACAACAACAAAAUAAUAUAAUUCACUUAUUGUAGUCGUCACACUUGCGUACAGUAGAAAGGACUGUUGAGAAACUAUGACUUGUGAAAAACUGCAGAGGUAGCAGGCAGUUGAUAUGUACUCGAAUCUCUCAGCCGGGGUGUGUUUUCAGGUACUUGCAUACGGCAUCACAUGGACAGGGAUCGGAAAAGGCUGCAUACCACGUCUGCAUACCGCUCAAGCCAAGUCCUAGUAGAACGCCAAUGAAACCCAAGAAAGUCCAGGGACUAUUGAAAUGGUCAUGAAAGAAUUGAGCCAUCCAUGUCUUCCACUUGGUUUUGUAGUGAUAUUCUAUCUGUGCUGUAACAUUUCGGUAAAUCGCAUCGUUAGGGACCAAGUCAGUGCUUAUCUCGUUGAAGAGUUCAGCCACCUCCUGAUCACUCCCAAGCAAGUUUUGAACUAUGCCCUUUUUCCUCAAGUGCUUCACAUCGUCUGCAUGAUCAAUGAGCGAAUCGAGGAAGCCUAUGUAAGAGGUGACCACAAAAUCGUUCUGGAAAUCAGGACACAUUUCGUAGGCUAUGAUGUUCAUGAACUUAGGCCCCAUCGAGUCGUCAACUUUUAUUAUGGGAAGAUAAAGGAAUCCACAGCAUAGAAACAGAGGCUUAAAAUAUAUGUCCAUCAAUGAGUUUUUCUCACUAGGCCUAAAAUGGAUACCGGCUGCCUGAAGCUCUUGUACGUUGCGAAAAGAAUGAAGCAAGGCGCUAGGUCGAGGUCCUACCAUUGUCUGAAGAAGGUCAAGAAGACGAUGAGUACAUCCUGGUUUUGUACUCUGGCUAGGUCGAGGUCCUACCAUUGGCCGAAGGUCAAGAAUAUGAUGAGUACAUCCUGGUUCUGUACUCAGGCUAGGUGGACGUCCUACCAUUCUUGUCCGAAGAAGGUCAAGAAGAUGAGUUGGCUUUCUUUCCACGGCAGGGCCUUGAACUACUGGUGCUCCACCAUGCAUCUUGACAAAUUCCUCGAUUGAGGCUUCCAAGUCCACACGUUUGUUGCUUGAGCUGAUCAGCAACUCGAGGAGUUGAUAGGGGAGUUGGUUUUCUAGCAGGAACAUGUCCUGUUCUACAAAUGCCACUUGGUCUCUCUUGAUCUUAAAAGCUUCCAACUCCUUAUAUUUGUACAUGAAUUCCAACGUCGAACACCCAUCAACGAACAGCAUCCACGCGAGGGCCUCAUCAUCGUGGUCCUUUGUUGCUUCGUCAUCAUAGCACUCCCUUAGCUCCUUAAUCUUGUCCUCAACGUUCUUGAGCAACGUUUCAUCGUUAUUAGUCUGCUCACUAUCUUUGAUAAAGUGUUCUGUCAAUUGAAGCUUGACUUUCUCUGCCUGCUUGUACUUUUCUUUACCAUGGUGGCGAGGACCGAGUGCUACCACCCUUGGCUCGUAGUACUUGUCUAAAUUUUUGUGAUCACGGAGCAUGAAGGGAACCCUUUGGAUCUUUGGUUCGGCAUUUUGCUUUUGAGCUGCUUCUGCCAAUGCAUCCCUCAUUUUCUUUAGUUUCUCCCCCCUACUGGUUCUUAUUACCUCCUCAUGGAUUGUAAUCGCCUCCUCUGAAGUUUGCUCCGUGGUGGUGAUUUCUGCAGGUUGGCCUUGGUCUCCUCCGCUUGCUUGUCCACCUCCUCUUUUCGCAACUUUCGUCAUGGACAGCUCCUUCUUCAUGGAAACUACAUUUUCAUCUUUUUGGGACAUUAUUAAAGUGCUUGUCGAAACUAAUUAACAAGGGAAUUCAAUGUGGUUUUAAGUGUUUUGGCCCUAGCGAGCUGUGUCAUGCUAUACAAUAUUUCUAGUUUGCAUGCAUUAUAUAAUACGUAUAAUAUGGCACAGCAGUGCAUCACUUUAGCUCCAAGAAAAUAGAAGCUUGAUGAUGAAGAAGAGAUGUUAAUUUGUUAAAGGACAGUAAUAGAUGCAUGACUUUAUCUGCAUGGAAGCAUGACUUUAUCUGCAUGGAAAGGUUGGUAUAUAUGUGGUACACGAUUUAUGUGGUAGAAGCUGUCGUCUCUAUCAAGGAAAAUUAAAGGUCAUGUUGUUGCCUGUAGCAUACUUUAUUUAUGGGAAAAUGCUACGAGUACAUUUUUUUUUCAGACCAUAUUUUGUAAUUACAUUAUGUGACGGUUAAUGGUUAGAUUUUUCAUUUAAAUUAUUAAAAAAAAAUUCAACCAUAAACCGGCACAUCAUGUGAUGUACAAAAUAUAAUUUAAAUAAAUAGCCUUUCAAGCAUAGUAUAUCACCCUUAUCUAGGAAACUACAUCUUAGCAUUUACAUAUGUUUGGAACACAUUCUAGUUAAAGUAAGAAAGUAGUACUACCGGUCAUGAUUGCCUUACUGACCUAAAAUAUUAUUCCUGACUUGCUUAUAGUUGGGAGUCUCGGACAAGAAUGAAAAGAAUGAUCUAAAGGCCAUUGUCCUACUUACGACAAGAAUAUCAAAUGUGAUACACAUGACAAGUUUAGUUUCAUGAAGAGCUUGUCCAACAUGCUAAUACAUAGAUUUACGAUUUAAUGAUAUUUUCUUGCACUCGUACCAUCGUACGUGAGGAAAGAUUUUUCAAUGUGACCGGUACACAGGAUGGUACACCACGUGUUACCAUAUAAAUGGUGGAAUAUGUGUGUUAACAAAUUAAUAACUUAAAAAAUAAAAUUUCCCACCACUUAACAUAAAAAUACGUGGUGUACCAUUCGUGUUCCUGUUACAAUGAAAAAUUUCAUGUACGUGAGAGGUUUUGAAUGCAUCACCUUGAACUGCAUUGUAUAUUUAACAGGAAGAAACGGAACUUUUGGUUCCCUAAUAUAUAGAAGAAACAGAAGUAACAUAUAGUUCACAGACAUGUUGCCCUUGUAGCCAAGGUGGUAAAAUACAUAUAUUCUAGGUUAGGUACAUGUUUGAGUAGUUGACAAAAAAGAUAAAGACUGUUUUGUUCUCAUUCUAUAGCAUCUAAGUUUCCAAGCACAAACGUGCAAAGCAAAGAACAUGCAGGUGUUGAAGCAAAAAUGUUGAUAGCUGAAAACAUGUAGAACGGCUUGCAGCAGUCGAUUACGGAGAUUGCAUUGCUCACUUUUUUUUAGAGUGGACAUCUUCCGCACUAUAGCAAAAAAUAUAAAUCAUAGUUUAAGAAACGCUACUAUAAUGUUUGUUAUAUAGGUGUGUGCGUGAAAAAUAAAUUGUAAGUUAGCUAUCUUUGGGUUUUUUGCUUUGAGAUUUUGUUCUAAGUGCAGCUAACGGAACUUUGUCAGCUGGUUCAAUUUUGGGGACAACUAGAUUGUGGAUUUCUCUAGCAAUUCUGGCAAAAUUGGUUGUCUCUGUUUGGUCAUCGUGAGGUCUUUUGCUGUGAGUCAAGGUACAAAUUUAACAGGUUAGAGAUGAAUGUGAGAGUGACAAAAGAGUGUGAAAGAGUGGUGUGAAGCUUUUUCAUGUGUAGGAAAACAUAUUCAUAUACCUAAGAGAAGCAUGGUUUGCAAGAUUUACACAUGAGAUGAUUAAGCAAGAAGUCUACUUUACCUGUCAGAUUUCUCUGUUUGAUCAGGAAACAACUCUCUCUUUGAAGUCUUUGUGGGUGUAGUUGGUUGGGGUUGUUGAUGCAAGGAGGGCGUAAAUGGGCUUUGGGACGCUUCAAUUAAAAUUUGUUUUCCUGCAGUGGUAACAGAUGUUUGCGGUGUGACUAAGGCAAUUGUUGGGUUCGAAUGCAGUUGAUCUUGUAGUAGUCCAUGAAGAUGAAGUCUGUUUUCCCAAAGUCAGUAUUUUGGUUUCCAAAAGAGAGCUGAAAUUGUUUUGUCUCGUUGACCAAAUUUUUUCGAGUUGGCAGAACUAUGAAAGGAUCCUUAUAUCCAUCCUCUAUCACCAAAGUGUGGCAAGAAACACGAAGUAUUUUUUCAGCAUGUUUUCCUAUUAUUGUAAACUAAAAUAGAAAGGAACGAAGUUACCCGAAAAAUGUAGAAGCUUUAAGUGGUGAAUGAUUCUUGGGAUGAGUCACGGACUAAGUCACUCUCUUUAAAACGUUUCGCGGCUCUGCCCAAAGUGUGCAAGCAGUUCACAAACACCACGUCGUCCCCAGGAUAAAACAGCCCAGAACCUUCUUCUAAUAAAAUUCUUCCUUGCACACCGGAAGAACCUUCGAACUAAACCUUUUUGAUAUGUUGCUUUUUAAAUUAAUAUAUUUAAAACUUUUUUUUUCUUCUACUAUUUCUACUCUACGCCUAACUGACAUAUCUUUUUGUAUCCUUAUCUAUAUAUAUAAAGAAAUAGAUGUUAGGGGGGGGUGUAAAACCGUAAGGAUAUAAAGAGAGUUUAUGGGGUGCAAAACGGUCGGUUGCAAUCAAAAGCAAAGCCGUAGGGAAUCAAAUGCAAAACUAUCUGCAAUCAAAGGAGUUAUUAACAUCACAUUAAUUUACUUCUUAAAUUGCUUUAAGAAAUUUCAGUUAUAGACUUUGAAAUGAAAAAAUACGUGGUGCAAACUUUACCAAUUGAUGCAGAUCAAAUCAAAACGUAAUUCAAAUUCAAACAAGAAACAAAACGGUUUGAUUGCAUAACUCCUUAAGCUAAAAUCAAUUGACUUUCAAUAUUGGUAAUAAAGCAAAACGUUGUGUAUAUAAUAUUGGUAGUAAAACAAAACAUAAAUAUAUUUAAAUAUUUAAAUAAAAACAUAUUUGCUCCAACAAUCCCCCACUUGUUUUUAUUUAAAAAAAUAUAUAUCAAGCAACAUAUCAUAAAGCUAUGCAUAAGUAAAGGUGUUUCUCAACUUGAACGUGUACAUAGUGUUAGUGAUCCAGAUUAUACUAGAGUAACUUAUAGUUUUGAACUCUAUCUCUAACAACACCACACACAUAACUUUAUUAAGGUGAAGUUCAAAAAGCCAGCACAUUACGGCCAUAUGCUUGUAUCCCAGUAUAGUGAACGCUCUAGAAACUUGCCCAAGAUUUCAUAGGAAGCGGCCUCACUUCCACAUUCACAUAGGUAAGACUAUCAAGGAUAUUCCUGUAGCUAAAUAUCCCACUCAACAUAGAGUAUAGACCUUAUUAAGAGAAAAAAUCUCAACCUAAAAACGCUUCAGGAUGUCAUGCUUCUUAGGGAUGGACAUGGAAUAAUAUUCCAAAUUAAAAUUAGCAAGACUUCACUCAUAUCACUUGUGCCUUGUUAUUACCCUUUGAACCUAUUUCUUGGGAUCUCUAGCCUAUAGGUUGGGUUGCUAUCACCAAUGACUCAAUUUUCUACGGCCUUUAGUCCUAUCCCUUUCGAGGUUUUCCAAACCUUUUCUCAUGUUAGUCCUUUCGUCAAAAGAUUUUUCCAAACUUUUUCUCAUGUUAGUCCUUUCGUGAAAGGAUCAACUAAAUUUUCUUCAGAUCGUAUAUGACUGGAAUCAUUUUCUCCCAUAAAGGGGUACGUAUCUAACAGUAGGUUUCUCAACCAUCUUGUUUCUUCUCCCAUAAAGAGGUAUCUGAUAGUAGGCUCAUAAUUUUUCGAAGAAUUAGAACCCCCACUAUUUCGAAGAUUAAAAGAAUCAACCGAUUACAAAAAUCACAAGGCACAUUUUCAUAAUUGAUAUCAAAUUAAAUAUAAAACAUAAAUUGUUAUCAAAUUAAAGAACAUGAAAAAUCAGUGAUUAAAAAUUAAAUAAACUCUCUCUUUAAAAACACUAAGCAAUAAAACUACUGAUUUUUCUCAAAUGAAGGUAGCUCUCUGUGCACUUGGGGAUGCUAACAUACUUUUGAGCUCCAAUGAUAUUUCAUGCAGCGAUAGAAAGUAUAAUACAAAUAUCAAUGCAUAAGGCAGCAAAAACCAAAACCCAAAAGCAUGUUAAUUCGAAUACAUGCAGCAGCAGCCAAAACCAAAGUCUAUUCUAAUGCAUGCAACGCAUCAGAGAAACAUAUGACUUGUAAAAAUAAACCUAACGCAUGCAGCAACACUCUUAAACAAACAAUGAAGAAAAUAUGAUUUUAUUUUCUUCCUAAUGCAUGGCAGAUUGAAUACCGUCUUAAAAUUGUUGUAAACUGAAAUAGAAAGGAACGAAGUUACCCGAAAAAUGUAGAAGCCUUAAGUCGUGAAUGAUUCUUGGGAUGAGUUGCGGACUAAGUCGCUCUCUUUAAGACGUUUCGCGGCUCUACCCAAAGUGUGCAAGCAGUUCACAAGCACCAAGUCGUCCUCAGGAUAAACCAACCCAGAACCUUCUUCUGAUAAGAUUCUUCCUUGCACACCGGAAGAACCUUCGAACUAAACCUUUUCGAUAUGUUGCUUUUUAAAUUAAUAUAUUUAAAACUUUUUUUUCUUCUACUAUUUCUACUCUUUGGAAAAAAAAAACGUAUGAUAAGGUCCCAAGAGACAUUCUCUGUAGGAUUUUGGAGAAGAAAUAAGUACGAGUAGCAUAUAUCCAAGCUAUAAAGGAUAUGUAUGAAUGAGCAAAGACUACCGUAAGAACUCAUGAAGGACAAACCGAAAGCUUCCCCAUAACUGUAGGAUUACGUCAAGGCUCAUCCUUAAGUCCUUACUUUUUUACGUUGGUAAUGGAUGAGUUAACAUGACAUAUUCAAGAUGAUAUUCCUUGGUGUAUGCUUUUCGCAGACGAUAUAGUGUUGAUAGAUGAAACUUAGGAAUGGGUAAAUGUGAAGCUUAACCUUUGAAGAUAAGUGUUGGAAUCUAAAGGUCUUCGCCUAAGCCGAUCAAAGACAGAAUAUAUGGAGUGCAAGUUCACUGCAAAUGGAGGCCAAAAUGAGUUAAGGGUGAGGAUCGGAGAUCAGGAAACACCAAAGAGCGACUGCUUUCGCUACCUAGGAUCUAUCUUGUAAAAGAAUGGAGAAUUAGAUGGAGAUCUCAACCAUAGAAUACAAGCUGGAUGGAUGAAGUGGAAGAGUGCAUCCGGCGUGUUGUGUGACCGCCGUAUGCCACUGAAGCUCAAUGGAAAAUUUUAUAGGAUGGCAAUAAGGCCGGCAAUGCUGUAUGGCUCAGAAUGUUGGGCGGUGAAGCAUCAACACGUACACAAAAUGGGUGUAGCGAAGAUGAGGAUGCUUCGUUGGAUGUGUGGGCACACGAGAAAUGAUAAGAUUAGGAAUGAGGAUAUCCGAGGUAAAGUAGGAGUAGCCGAAAUUGUAGAAAAGCUGAGAGAAAAUCGAUUACGGUGGUUUGGACAUGUGCAAAGAAGGCCUACUGACGCUCCGGUUAGAAGAUGCGACUACGGGAUAGAGGUUCAGGGCCGAAGGAGUAAAGGAAGACCUAGGAAAACUUUGGAAUAGACUCUAAGAAAAGACUUAAAGUACUUGGAUCUAACGGAGGACAUGACACAGGACCGAGCACAAUGGCGUUCUAAGAUUCAUAUAGCCGACCCCACUCAGUGACUUGGAUUUUCAAGUCUCCAACCGAGAAGUUUUCCUCACUCGGGAAAUUAAGGGAACACUACCUCAACCUACAUGCUCCACUCACAAAGCUCUCAAGCCAAGCAGAUAUUCAUAUGCAGAUAUUAAGAGGAUUACAAAUCAAUUCAAGUACAAAUUAGGCCAAGGAGCCUACGGAACUAUUUUUAAAGGAAAACUUUCUUCUGAAUGCUUUGUUGCUGUGAAGGUACUUAACAAUUCUAAGCGUGAUGGGGAAGAGUUCAUAAAUGAAGUGGGAGCAAUGGGUCAUAUUCACCACGUCAAUGUGGUUCGCUUGGUUGGUUUUUGUGCAGAUGGAUUUAGACGAGCUCUGGUUUAUGAGUUCUUUUCCAAUGGUUCGCUCCAGGAUUAUAUUUCAUCAGUAGAUAGAAGGAACUCUUUCCUUGGUUGGGACAAGUUGCAAGAUAUUGCUAUCGGCAUAGCCAAAGGAAUAGAAUAUCUUCAUCUGGGAUGCGAACUACGAAUCCUCCAUUUCGAUAUCAAACCCCACAAUAUUUUGCUAAACCAAAACUUCACACCAAAAAUCUCUGAUUUUGGUCUGGCCAAAUUAUGUUCCAAGGAUCAAAGCAUAGUGUCAAUGACUACAGCGAAGGGGAUCAUGGGCUACAUUGCACCAGAAGUAUUUUCCAGGAAUUUUGGAAAUGUGUCUUACAAGGCAAAUGUCUAUAGUUUUGGAAUGCUGCUGCUUGAGAUGAUAGGAGGAAGGAAGAAUGCUGGUUCAACCACAGAGAACACGACCAAUGAAGUUUACUAUCCAUAAUGGAUUUAUAACCUUCUAGAGGAAGGAGAUGACCUACGAAUCCAUAUCGGGGGAGAAGGGGAUGGUAAGAUUCCAAAGCAACUUGCAAUUGUAGGGCUCUGGUGCAUCUAGUGGCACCCAGUGGAUCGUCCUUCCAUGAAAACGGUAGUUCAGAUGCUAGAAGGAGGAGAAAACUUGACAAUGCCUCCUAAUCCUUUUGUUUCUGCAGGUCCUACACAAACAUCACAGGCAUGCAUCCCCAAAAUGCGCCUCCUAGAGUUAGAAGCAAUUGCUAAAUUAGAGUAACAUGUAGAUGUAUACCACCAACUAGUAGUUCAUAGAUGAAUUCAAGCGCAAACAUUUGUUAGUCUAUAAGCCAUGAGCUGAUUACAUUAGUAAUAAUGUCUUGUAUUUACUUGUGUAUUCACUUGAGUUAUAAAUUACCAAGUGUAGGGCUCAUAUUGCAAUUGUCUAGUGUAUUCGUCGACAUGAUUCCCAGUAGCAAAUAAGCAAACCAAAACCAUUUGUCUAGUGCAAGAACGCAUCUACAACUACAAGAAGCAAUUUGGUAGAGAUCUGAUCCUAUUUGCGUUUUUCACAUGUUUACAUAAAAAAGUUUCAUUCAUAAAUAUGGAAAUUAAUCAUCAGUGAAAAAAGGCAGCACAGACACGAUAUGAGCAAAAAAUGACACACAUUCAGACAGACUAAAUGGAAUUCAAAUUUAUCCAUCAGUGUCUAAAAGAGCUUGCCAUGAAGAACACCAAUAAUCUAAGCAAAGCGAUUCACGCAAAAGUUAUGUACAAUAUCAUUAUUCAUGAUUACUAGACAAAGGAAAUGUUUAUCAAUAUCAGUCCUCACUCUGCAAAAGAGAUACGAGACAGUAUAUAGAGUUAAAUGUAACCCGAUUGUGGUUGCUGUUAGGAAUGUCGGUACUACAAGAUAGAGAAUGCACAAGGUAAAGUAGAAAAUGGACGCCAAGAAUUUAUGUGGUUCGGCAAUUUAUGCCUACGUCCACCAAACAAGGAUCAAUCUUCACUAUAUGAAAAAGAUGAAUACAACAAGAGUAGUCUUACCAAGCCAAAGACAAGGCUUGAUGGAUACAAGAAAGUAUAACACACACUUUCUAUCACUCUAAACUUCACUCACACAAUGUGUAGUGGAACACUCUCACUCUCACUCUUGGAGUGGAACUCUAGCUUUGGACUUGAUCCUUUGCUACUCACUCUUCUCUUGAUUUGUUGUUGGUUCACUACAACAUCACACCCAUAUUUAUAGGUGAGGGUUUGGCAUUCUACUAGUUUCUAGUGUAUUCUUCAAACCUCUAGCAUAGAAAGAUCUAGACUAGCCACAAAAGUGUGGCUUCUAGAUCUUUCCAUUUGCAACCAAGGAAGCUAGUACUCUCUAGCUUCUUCCAUCAACUUAAUAACAUGCUAGAAUUGUCUAGCAUGCUCCAGCCAUCUCUCUUGCUUACUAGAAUAAUCUAGAACAUUGAUCAUGGGCUGGACCAUAUACCAACAAUCUCCCCCUCCAGUCCAUGAGGGAGGAAUUCCGAUCAUGACUCCAAGUUACCUGGAGUCCAUCCCAGCAGCCUUAAUGCAGAAUUCCAACUUUGAUUUUGUGACCACCUUUGUCAACAUGUCUGAAGAAUUAUUAUCGGUAUGAAUCUUCUUCAGCUGUAGCAUCUUGUUCUCGAUAACAUCUCUAAUCCAGUGAUAACGAAUAUCAAUGUGCUUGGUGCGUGAAUGGUAUGCAGUGUUCUUGCUCAAAUCCAGAGCACUCUGACUAUCACAAUAAACGCCAUAAUCACUUUGCUUCAAACCCAACUCUUGGAGAAACCGCUUCAGCCACAACAACUCCUUGCAUGCUUCUGUAGCAGCUAUGUAUUCAGCCUCGGUUGUAGACAAAGCAACACACUUUUGCAACUUGGAUUGCCAAGACACGGCUCCCCCUGCAAAAGUAAACAAGUACCCAGACGUAGAUUUUCUACCAUCCAGGUCACCUCCCAUGUCAGCAUCUGUAAAUCCUUCCAAGAUUGGUUUGGAACCGCCAAAGCACAAGCACAUCUUAGAAGUCCCCUUCAAAUAUCUGAGAAUCCACUUAACAGCUUCCCAAUGGUCUUUCCCUGGAUUAGAGAGAAACCUGCUCACCACACCUACUGCAUGAGCAAUAUCUGGCCGUGUGCACACCAUUGCAUACAUGAUACUUCCUACUGCUGAAGAGUAGGGAACAACUGCCAUUUUCUCCUUUUCUUCAUAUGUUUUUGGACACGACUCUUUGCUCAACUUGAUAUGAUUGGCUAAAGGUGAGCUUACCGAUUUGGCUGCUUUCAUGUUGAACCUUUCAAGCACCCGUUCAACAUACUUUUCUUGUGACAGCCACAACUUCUUGGAUUUUCUGUCACGAAUUAUCUCCAUGCCCAAAAUCUGCUUGGCUGGCCCUAAGUCCUUCAUGUCAAAGGACUUAGAUAACUCUUCUUUGAGCUUUUUAAUCAUAAAAGCAUCUUGACCGACAAUCAACAUGUCAUCAACAUAAAGCAACAAAAUGAUGAAUUUACCUCCAGAAAAUUGUUUGAUAUAGACACAAGAGUCAGCAUGAGUUCUCUUGUACCCAUUACUCACCAUGAAUAAGUUGAACUUCUUAUUCCACUGUCUCGGAGCCUGCUUAAGACCAUAUAAGCUUUUCUUGAGCUUGCACACCACCAAAGUUUCUUUACCCUUGACUUCAAAGCCUUUGGGUUGCUCCAUAUAUAUCUCCUCUUCUAAGUUACCGUGGAGAAAUGCAGUUUUUAACGUCUAACUGCUCGAGCUCAAGAUCCAUGCUUGCUGCCAUACCAAGGAUAACUCGAAUGGAAGUCAUCUUCACCACCGGUGAGAAAAUCUCAUCAAAGUCAACUCCUUUCUUUUGACCAAAACCUUUGACAACCAAACGAGCCUUGUACCUUGUCAUGUUGUCGUCAUUUUUUCAAUUUGAACACCCACUUGUUUUUUCAAUGCUUUUCUGCCCUUUGGAAGCUCCACCAGCUCAUAGGUAUUAUUCUUUAAUAAGGAAUCCAUCUCUGACUCCAUUGCCUUCAUCCAUUUAUCACUGUCGUUAUGAGCUCUGGCCUCCUCAUAAGUUUCGGGCUCUCCAUAAUUAGUCAACAUGAUAUACUCUGAUGAAGAAUACUUGGUAGACGGUCUUCGACUUCUGCUGGAUCUUCUGACCUGAUCUUCAUUCUCUUGCGGGGCUAGAGUCUCCCCCUGAUUGGAUUCUCCUUGAAUCUGCUCUUCUUGACUAGGCUCCCCCUGAUCAGCAAUCUCAUGGUCUGGCACAUCUUGAUCAGGCUCCUCUUGAUCAGCAUUAUCUGAUUCUGCAGGCACUUCAUUGGCAGUUGCUUCAGGGAUGUCAUCGUGACUUUCUUCAUCUGAAGCUAAUGGAUCAACUCCUCUGACUGCGCCAUCUGGUUGUGCCUCUUUAUCCGAAUCCCCAAUUGUUUGAUCUUCAUAAAAGACCACGUCUCUACUUCGGAUAAACUUCUUCUGGUAUGGGUCCCAUAAUCUGUAACCAAAAUCUUCACCGCCAUAACCAAGAAAGAUGCACGGUGUAGCUUUGUAGUCUAACUUCGAUCUCUGCUCUUUGGGCACAUGCACAAAAGCUUUGCAACCAAACACCUUCAGAUGAGAGUAAGACACAUCAUUACCAGUCCAUACUCUCUCUGGAACAUCAAGACCUAAUGGUACUGAUGGAGAUCGGUUAAUCAAAUAGCAGGCUGUCCUUACAGCUUCACCCCAGAACUGCUUAGAUAACUUUGCAGUCCUCAGCAUACACCUGACUUUCUCCAUGAUGGUUCGGUUCAUUCUUUCAGCAACACCAUUAUGUUGUGGAGUUCCAGGAACUGUCUUCUCAUGACGUAUGCCAUGUUUCACACAAUACUCUCUAAACUGGUGAGAUGUGUACUCGCCGCCGUUGUCGCUACGAAGGCACUUAAGAGGUUUCCCAAUUUCCCUCUCCACCAUGGCAUGGAACUCCUGGAAUGUCUGAAACACCUGGUCUUUGGAUUUCAACAAAUACACCCAAACCUUUCGUGAAGCAUCAUCAAUAUAUGUAACAAAAUAUUUAUUUCUUCCGAGUGACUCGACUUCCAUGGGACCACACACAUCUGAAUAAACAAGAUCUAACAAAUUUCCUUUCCUUGUAGAUGGAAUCGAAAAACUAAUUCUUCUUUGUUUUCCUAAUAAACAGUGCUCACAAGAGUUUAACGACGUACCUUUGGCAAAGGGAAUGUGAGACUUCUUUGCCAAAACCUGUAGGCCUUUCUCGCUCAUGUGACCUAGCCUCUUAUGCCACAAGUCUAGAGAUGAGUCCUCCACAGCAUUCAACUCACCUUUCAAAACCUUGGCAUUUGACCGGUACAACGUACAACAAAGUCGUGCUCUUGCUACCACCAUUAAGCCUUUAGUAAGCUUCAAUUUUCCUUCGCCAAUAUGGUGAUAAUAUCCUUGUCGAUCAAGGGUACCGAUGGAUAUCAGAUUGAGACGUAUAUCAGGAAUAUGUCUCACAUCUUUCAACAUCAAUUGGCAGCCGAGAUUAGUUCUUAGACGUAUAUCACCAAUUCUAAGAAUUUUGGAAUAGCUUUCAUUCCCCAUCUUCACUAUGCCAAAGUCACCUUCUUUGUAUGUACUGAAGAACUCCCGUUUAGACGUAGCAUGGAGGAAGCUCCAUUGUCAAAGAUCCAUUCAAUGUCUCUGUCAGAGUUGCCCAUAUGCAGACAUUCACCAACAGACAAUAUUUCUGGUACAUCACCACAUAUGACAGCAGUGGUAUUGCCAGUAUCAUCUUUCUUCUGAUUGUUUCCUUCCCUUUGCUCUCUCUUCCAAACUCGACAAUUUUUCUUCAUAUGGCCUUCUUUGCCACAAUGGUGGCAUGCACCCCUGAACCUUGACUUGGAUCGGCUAGGACUCCUGCCAUGACCUCUAGGUCCUCUACUCUUGCUUCUUCCGCGGUUCUCUGUGACAAAUACUUGGCUGCUAUCUGUGCCAGAAGUCUUUCUCCUUGUUUCUUCAUUGAGCAUGCUAUUUUUAACAUUAUCAAGGGUAAGAACACCAUUAGAAGCAGAGUUACUUAUACUCACCACAAAGGUCUCCCACUCCAACCUCCCAACUGUCUGGCAAGGAUCCAAGUAACAAGAGCGCUUGUAGCUCGUCCUCGAUCGUCAUUUUCAUAGUAGCCAACUGGUUGAUGAUAUUCUGGAAAUUGUUCAAGUGUUCUGCUACACUUAAACCAUCCUUGUACUUCACAUUGAUGAGCUCUUUGAUCAAGAAGGCUUUCUUAGCUGGAGUUUUCUUCUCGAACAAGGACUCAAGCUUUGUCCAAAACUCGCGAGCAUUGGUUUCAUUAGACACAUGGUGAAAAACACUAUCGUCCACCCAUUGUCUAAUUGUGCCAAUAGCCUUGCGAUUCAUCUUCUUCCACUCGGCAUCGGACAUGCUCUCUGGCUUAGCGGCAUCUCCUUCAAUUGGCUCAUGCAGAUCCUUGCAAUAGAGAAUGUCCUCCAUCCUUGGCUUCCAUGUUACCCAAUUGGAGUUGGUGAGUUUGAUCAUAGUGCCACUUCCUUCCAUCUCGCAGUACGAGCCAACCGGGCUCUGAUACCACUUGUUAGGAAUGUCGGUACUACAAGAUAGAGAAUGCACAAGGUAAAGUAGAAAAUGGACGCCAAGAAUUUAUGUGGUUCGGCAAUUUAUGCCUACGUCCACCAAACAAGGAUCAAUCUUCACUAUAUGAAAAAGAUGAAUACAACAAGAGUAGUCUUACCAAGCCAAAGACAAGGCUUGAUGGAUACAAGAAAGUAUAACACACACUUUCUAUCACUCUAAACUUCACUCACACAAUGUGUAGUGGAACACUCUCACUCUCACUCUUGGAGUGGAACUCUAGCUUUGGACUUGAUCCUUUGCUACUCACUCUUCUCUUGAUUUGUUGUUGGUUCACUACAACAUCACACCCAUAUUUAUAGGUGAGGGUUUGGCAUUCUACUAGUUUCUAGUGUAUUCUUCAAACCUCUAGCAUAGAAAGAUCUAGACUAGCCACAAAAGUGUGGCUUCUAGAUCUUUCCAUUUGCAACCAAGGAAGCUAGUACUCUCUAGCUUCUUCCAUCAACUUAAUAACAUGCUAGAAUUGUCUAGCAUGCUCCAGCCAUCUCUCUUGCUUACUAGAAUAAUCUAGAACAUUGAUCAUGGGCUGGACCAUAUACCAACAGUUGCGGGUUACGUUCUUACGAAUAUAGUUUGGUUGUAGAGUUCAUACCGCAUGUAGAAGCAUGACUCCUUAAAUUGAUCAGUUGUUUUCAACAUAUCGGGUUAAACGUAACCUACCUUUCCCUUGCUGUUUUUUGUUUGCUUAUCUCGUAUUUUAUUUUACUUUUUUACUGGUGUGACGAAAUGUAUGUCAAAACAAGAAGAAAUCAUACUAUUCUAUUUCUGUAAAAAUACCCAAAUGUCAAUGAAAUCAAUUACAACCGAAGACUCAUAUAUAACCAAAACAUUGCUUUUAUACUAAAGAAUAUUUGUGUCGAUUGAGAUGGCUUUUUGCCUACCUAUGACAUUUUUUUAUAUAUAAAAACUGAUACUAUUAAAAUUACGGGUCGAUUUUUUGCCAUAUUUGAUAAAGACUUGUGUACAUGUGCCAUGAACAUCUUUGUCAUACGUUGGGAGUCACCGAAUAUGCGGAACCAAUUAGGAAACGUUUAAUUAGGAAGAUAUAGAGGUCCCUUAAUUAAAUCUGAAGUAUUGAGCAGCUCAUGUGCAAGAAAAGUUUGGGUUUUCCAUGUGCAGGAGGUGGAAUUUGCCCAUGUGUCACGUCAUUGCAACGAGUAGCCUUAAUAAACAGAAAUUUUGUUCCUACUUAGUGCUUGUAAUUCUACGGACGUUUGCUUCACCAGAAUUCAACGAUCAAAUUAGAAUUCUAGCACCGAAAAACUUAACUUCUGGCAAAUUUUUAUGUGGUUCUCUCAGUAAAAAGGUUUAGAAAUGUAGAAGAAGAAUUAGAUAUUUUCUGUGUUCUAAAUAUCAUGCAGAUGGAUUAAUAUAUAAUAUGAUUAUGCAUGUUCACAACAGGUAUGAGUAGGUGUGGUUCGGUAUGGGAUACCAUACCGAAACUAGUAUCCCGAAUCCCAAACCGAAAUUUUUCGGGAAGGGAAUUUAAAGACCAAUCCCAAACCAAAUUUUCGGGAUUUCGGAACAAAUCGGGAAUCCCAAAUUGAAAUAUGAAAUUAUGAAUUGUUUUUCAAAUAUAUAAUUCAAGAACACAUUCAUACUAGGAAUGUCAUUUCAUUCACACUACCAUUUAAUCUAAAACUGGCAUGCCUGAUUGUUUUUAUCAGAGUCAAAAUUCAAAUUAAUUAAACAUUUUUUGCAAUCUGUUGAGAGACAAAAGAAUCAAACUUUCUAAAAUCAUUAGCCAUGGCAACAACAAUAAUAAAUCUAAAUGAAUAUUAAACAGAACAUGAAAACUAUGCAAGGUGUAGGGCAUUCCAGGUUGCAUAGCAUCCCGAAAAUUUCAGGAAUUUUGGUUUGGAAAAUUUUUGGUUUGGGAUCGGGAUUUUUUCGGUUCGGUUCGGGAUUUUCGGGAAUUUUUUCCACCCCUAAGUACGAGGAAGGGAUGCAUCUGUUGGGAGACAUCUUCUCAUGGGUGUUUUCUUUCUGCGUUCUUUCACACUUCAAACUUCAUCUAAAAGGAUGAGUGUUGAUAAAAUAAAAAAUUAAUUAAUUAAAUCCGAAAAUAAUUAAUUAAAGUAUUUAAUUAUUAGAGUCCGAAGAUCCAUCUUUUGAUAAUUAAUUAUAUAUUAAUUAGCACAUCCCAAAGCUCAACCCCAAGGGUAAGCCCAAUUUUAUUUUCCAAGGUUCAUUGCUCCAAUCACUUUCUAUAAGGGACAAAACCUUACAAACUAAACAAAUCCAAAGCCACGUGGCUCCCUGCACCAUAUAAUAGCAUUAAGUAUAACAAGAAAAUAAGCUACACAAGAAGGAAACCCAUAUAAUUGCAUUAACUAUACUAAUGUUACCGAAACUACAUCUUGUAUUCUGGAAAAUUCAUACAUGGUCGAAGCUCUAGUCAGCAUGAUAGGCACAAAUAAUUGCCACACACUUUAUACAAUUCAAGUGAAAACAUCAAUGGCUGCUAACCUUGUUGGAGUCAAAGAUAAAUUGAGUUGAAAUUCUUCAACACUUCAACUUCUUCUCAAUGUUUUCAACCCAACUUUCUUCAAAAUCUUCGUGUACACUAAGAACAACUUUCUUCAAAAUCUUCGUGUAUACUAAAACCAUCUUCAACAAUUACUUACUUCAUUGAUCUCUUGAAUAAACACUCUUGUUACUUCAUUCUUGUCUUCAACACAGUACUCUUAUUACUUCAUGGGUGUCUUCAACACUUUCAAUAAAACAACCAAAUUCCAAUAAAGCAGUUGAAGAUAACUAAAUAAAAAACAAACAAAAACAAGUGCACUUCAACAAACACUCAGGAUCAAAACCAAAACAACCGACAAAAUUCACACGCGUGGAACUUCUAGCUCAAAUCAAGAACAAUACAACCUCAAACAUUCCUUACAAAUCUUUAAUAACAAAAACCCAUAGUUUUACACCUUGAAAUUUGAAUACUUGUUUGGUAGGACUGUUUUCAAAAACUGGAUCCAAAACUAACUCAAAAUUGGCCUACUUCUUGAAAACACAAAAUUGAACUUUUAGGGUUUUUGAACUCAAAGCCAACUGCUUUCUCUCUCCUCUCCCCUCACUCCGGAUCUUCUCUGCUAGCUCUAUUUCUAUCUUCUCUGUGUCCUCCCCUCAGUUCUUCUCUCUCCUCCAAUGCUCUCUCUCAUAUGUCAGCUACCCUAUCCUCCGACCCCUCUAUUUGGAUCCAUCUGUCCGUCCGAUUGAACCUACAAGUUCCCGACUCCACCGGGGUGCUGUAGGGUUUUUUUCUUUUCUUUUUUUAUUGUUGAGAUUUGAAAACAACUUUGAAUCUCAUACCAAACAAGUUCUCAAGACAUGUUUUGAGAAAUGAUGAAAACUUCUAACAACCUAAAAAAUAAACACCUAAAUCCACAAUCUUAAUCUAUCAGUCAUAAAUUUUAAGAAUUUACAAUUAUUUUCCGCCAAUCCAUAUCUUUCAAGAAACAAAAUUAAUUUUUCUCAAAACAAAAAAGAAACAAAAUUAAUUACACAAAAGUUAUGAAAUACUUAAUAAUUACAACUUAAUAAAGAAUUAGAUAAAAAUACCUGCAGUCAUGGCGAAGAUUGCGGACCAAGAGACUGGUGGGAAGAUCCCUACCACGACCUCCAUAGCGACCUCUCGGGCUAGGGCUACGGCGUCGCCUGCCGUAACCCCUCGGCGGCAAAGGGCCGUAACUAUAGAUCCUACCCCUCAUUUUCUUUCACCUGCAAUAAUCCCCACCACGAAUUACAAACCGAAAUUGAAAUCGAAAACCCUAAUUUCACUGUAACAAAUCACAAGACCAGCACAUAAUUAUUUAUGUAAUACAUCGCUCUUUUGGGUCGAAUACUUACCCGCAAUCUCUCUGAUUUGGUAGAUGUCGGGUCCUAGGGUUUUAAGCUUUGGAGACCCGUCUAACCGGGUCGGAUUUUGACGACUGGCUUUUUCUGAAACGAAUAGUAGCAGCCCGGGUAAAAAGAUUGGAGAAAUGCUAGUAACACUCGCCUAAAAAGCAAGUCCUCAAGACUCUCCCUCCAGCAUCUCCACGUGUAUUUCCACUUCCUCGGUUAAGCUUUAUAUUAGUUCCAUAAUGUUUUUUUUAAUAGUAUUAUACCCACCCCUGUUGUGCUAGGAUAGCACUAAACCACGCGGAACCAAAUUAAGCUAACCCACAGAAAAUAUAUCAAAUGAAAUGCAAGAACAAUAUAGAGAAAAUAUCACCAAGAUUUUAACGAGGUUCCUCUACAGUCAGUAUAACUGGAGUACGUCCUCGGAGCAAUAGGAGCUCACCCAAUAAUCCACUAUCAACCAAAUGGGAGUUUACAAAGUGUUGACAAUCUCACAACCCAUAAACCCAAUACACCCAAUAACUCUCACACACCAAAGAAACAAAUAGAGAAAGAAAUAUAAUGAAUAAUUUCUUCUCUACACAUAUAGUUCAAAGCUAUUACAACAACAACUACUUUGGUGGAUGAUUACUAACCAAAGAGAUGAGCACUUUCUUCUUCUCUUCAAAGAGGAGCUGCAACUCUCUUUUCCUGCUGCUCUAUUCUCUCUGUAUUCAGCUCAAAACAUAAAAUGAGCUCCACACUUUCUACUCACCCUCCGUAGCUUUCUAUCUCUUUCUCUUCUCUAUUAUUAGGCUGCAAAGGCAACCACCAAAACAUAAAGGACCAAAACCCACGGGUGUAGAAGAGAAAGUUGCCUUUUCCCCUUUUUUUCUCCCCAAAACAAGGAAUGAUGUUGUCCACCUUUUUCCUUUCCUUUAUAAUUUUAUAAUAGCCGAAAGUGAAUGACUUAUUUGGCCACUUGGCCACAUACUCCAACAAUCUCCACCUUGGCCAAGUUCCGAAAGCGCCAUGACAAGCCAAAAUGCUCCAAAACUCCUACUGCUCAACGCCUUCUUUAUAUAGGCAAAAUGUGAGCCAAGUUCAAGCAAUGAACAAACUUGGCUACACCAACAACCUUAGUCAACAUAUCAGCGGGGUUGUCUUUAGUUGAAAUCUUCUGGAGAAUGAUUUCCCCUUCACCAACAAUUUCACGAACAAAGUGAUAACGCACAUCUAUGUGCUUGGUCCUCGCAUGAUGAACCUGAUACUUAGCCAAAUAAAUGGCACUCUGACUAUCACAAUGUAUCUCCACCUGCUUCUGAUCGACCCCCAAAUCUCUAAUCAGCCCAUGUAUCCAAAUGACCUCCUUUAUAACUUCAGCAACUGCCAUAUAUUCAGCCUCUGUAGUAGACAAGGCAACAGACGACUGCAAAAUGGACCUCCAACAAACUGGCCCUUUAGCCAUAGUAAACACAUAGCCUGUAGUAAACUUUCUUCCAUCCAGAUCACCUGCAUAAUCUGAAUCAACAUAACCAACUGCAAAAUGACCAAUACCAGAGUCAUCUCUCUCAAAGCAUAAACCAAUGUCUCGAGUACCAUGGAGAUACUUCAAUAUCCACUUAGCUGCUUGCCAAUGCUCUUUACCUGGAUUAUGCAUAUAUCAACUCACCAUGCCAACUGCAUGAGCAAUAUCCGGUCUAGAGCAUACCAUUGCAUACAUCAAAUUACCAACCAAAUUUGCAUAUGGUAUAUUUUCAUUUGCAGCUUCUCUUUAUCAGUUUUAGGACACUGUAAAGAACUCAAUUUAAAAUGAGGAGCCAAAGGGGUACUAACUGGUUUGGUUGAAUCAUGAACUCCAAAUUUCCGAAUCAACUUUUCAAGAUAUUGUCUUUGAUUCAAACUGACCAAACCCUUCUCUCUAUCUCUAGUGAUCUCCAUGACAAGGAUCUUCUUCACUUCACCAAGAUCCUUCAUCUCAAACUCAUUCUUCAUUUGCUUCUUCAAUUUUUCAAUCUCUUCAAUUUUUCAAUCUCUUCAACAUUCUUUGAGGCAAUCAACAUAUCAUCAACAUAUAUCAACAAAUAAAUGAAAGACCCAUCUUGUAACUUCUUGAAGUACACACAAUGAUCAUAUUGACUUCUAGAAUAAUUUUGGCCUCUCAUAAAUUUAUCAAACCUCAAAUAUCAUUGUCUUGGAGAUUGCUUCAAGCCAUAUAGUGAUUUCUUCAAUUUGCAAAACAAGUUCUCCUUCCCUUUCACUAUAUACCCAUCCGGUUGACACAUAUAAAUCUCUUCAUUCAAAUCACCAUGUAGGAAAGCCGUCUUCACAUCAAGUUGCACAAGCUCAAGAUCAUAUUGUGCAACAAGAGCUAACAUAAUACGAAUUGAGGAGUGCUUCACAACCGGAGAAAAUAUUUCAUUGUAGUCAAUGCCCUUCUUUUGUGCAUACCCUUUAGCAACUAAUCUUGCUUUGAAUCUCACAUUGCUUUUUUCAUUAGCAUCUUCCUUCUUGGCAUACACCCAUUUGCAACCGAUAGCUUUCUUGCCCUUAGGCAAUUUAGCUAACUCCCAAGUCUUGUUCUUCAAGAGAGAAUUCAUCUCAUCACCCAUGACAUUGCACCACCUCUCCUUCUCCUCACUCUCAAUGGCUUCCUCGAAAUUGGAUGGAAUAUCAUCAAUGAUAAUAGGAAGAGCAAAAGCAACAUAGUCACUAUACCGAGCUGGCUUGGUAAUUUGUCUUUUUCCUCUGUUCUUGGCAAUAGACUCUUGAGGUGAAACUUGCUCUUCAACUUGAAUAGAAUCUUCAAGUUCAACUUCUUCAACAUCCUCAUGGUCUCCAACUUCUUCACUUGUAGUGGCUUCGACAUCAGCGGAAAUAGGAUUUGAAGUACCAGAGGCAACUUUCUCAAGCUCCACCUGUUGGACAUCUUUCACAUUAUUCUCAGAGUCUUUGUACAUAUUUUCUUCAUCAAAUGUCACAUCUCUGCUGAUUACAAGUUUCUUCAUCUCUGGGCACCACAACCGGUAACCUUUGACACCACUACUAAAACCAAGAAAGAUAGCAUUUUUGGCUCUAGGAUCAAGUUUAUUUUCAGUUACAUGAAAAUAAGCAGGCGAACCAAAAAUAUGAAUAUAAUCAUAAUCAGUAGAAGGUUUUCCAGUCCAUACCUCCAUUGGUGUCUUACCUUGAACAGCAGCUGAGGGUAAUCGGUUGAUAAUGUGACAUGCAUAAUUAACUGCCUCUGCCCAAAAUGACUUGCUUAAACCCGACUGAGACAACAUACAUCUAACCUUCUCAAGCAAGGUUCGAUUCAAUCUUUCUGCAACUCUAUUUUGUUGUGGAGUUCCCGAACACUGAAAUGUCUCACAAUUCCUUCCUCUUUGCAAACUUUAGAGAAAGGAUCGGAUGUGUAUUCACCACCAUUAUCCGAUCUCAAAAUCUUAAUCUUUCUCCCAGUCUGGUUCUCAACCAUUUUCUUCCAACCCAAGAAAAUGCUUAACACCUCACUCUUGUGCUUCAUAGUGUAGACCCAAGACCUUUUUGAAUAAUCAUCAACAAAUGUCACGAACCAAUGUCUACCAUUCAAAGAUGGAGUCUUUGUAAGACCCCAAACAUCUGAAUGCACAUAAUCAAGAAUGUCCUUCGUCUGAUGUACAGCAGUACCAAACUUCACUCUAGUUUGCUUUCCCAAGACACAAUGCUCGCAGAAAUCAAGCUUACAAGUCGUGGCACCUUUUAGAAGACCUUGUUUCACAAGCCCUUGUAGAGCUUUCUCACCGGCAUGGCCUAAUCUCAUAUGCCACAGUCUGGUAGUAUCAGAAUCGGAUGUGCCCAUAUUUUCUGAGACUACAGAUGCUUCACCUGUCACAGUGCUUCCUUGCAAUAUAUACAAAUGGCCACAUCGAGGAGCUUUCAUCACAACAAGUGCACCAUAAGUAACUUUCAAUGUCUGUCCAUCUGAAUGAAACCUGAAGCCCUUGGAUUCCAAAGUACCCAAAGAAAUAAGAUUUUUCUUCAAAUUCGGUACAUACCGAACACCUGUCAACUCUUUAACCAGGCCAUCAUGCAACUUCAAACGAACUGUACCAAUCCCUUUUGUUGUGCAAGGAUUGUCAUCUCCCAUGAACACAACGCCACCAUCAAACUCUUUCAAGCUUGAAAACCAAUCCUUGUGAGGAGUCAUAUGAUGAGUACAACCCGUAUCUAACACCCAUUUAGUGGCACAAUUAAAUGAUGAUGAAGUGGUUAAAGCAAAAUCAACAAAAUCUGUUUCAACCUCAGCAACAUUGGCUUCAGAACUUUCUUUUCCUUUGGCCUUCAACUUAGGACAAUCUUUCUUCCAAUGGCCCUUAUUACGACAAAAGGCACAUUCAUCCCUUUCCAAAGGUUUUCUACCUUUAGAGUUUCCUCUAGGUCGAGACUGUGAUUUUUUCCUACUAGUAGAGGACCUUAUCUCCGAUGAUCUACCUCUAACAAAUAAAGCUUCAGAGGUACUAUCAUGAUUUUUGUCUCUAUGCCUCAUUUCAUAAUUCAUCAAGGCAUUUGACACAUCUUCAAAUUUCACAGUUUCUUUACCAUGCAUAAUAGUGGUAACAAAAUGCUCAUAAGAGUCCGGUAAGGAAUUCAACAAUAUUAAGGCCUUGUCUUCAUCCUUAAUAUCCUCAUCUAAAUUUAACAAGUCGGCAAUCAACUUAUUAAAAGCAUCAAGGUGUCUAAUCAUUUUUGUACCUUCUUUGUAUUGGAAGCAGUAGAGUUUUUUCUUCAAGUGUAGCCGGUUCUUUGCCCUCUUCGUCAUAUACUUGUCUUCCAAUUUUUGCCACAACACACUUGCUACCGUCUCCCGCAUCACAAAAUACUUCUGAGUUUUUGCAAGGCACAACCGAAUUGAAGAGCAAGCCCACAAAUUUAAUUUCUCCCAUUCCGGCUUCGACAUAGCUUCCGGCUUCUCUCCCAAAGCGGCAAGUAGAUCUUGUUGAGCCAACACAUCUUUGACCUCACAUUGCCACAUCCUGAAGUUGUUUGUGCCAUCAAACUUUUCCACUUCGAACUUUGCAUUUUGCACCGUAGUUCUUGCAAACCCGGAGCUGCUUCCAAAAGGAUUCUCAUCUUGCCCGUCUGACAUCUUUGGCAACUAAACAGUACCCAAGAGCAACUAGUGCUCUGAUACCAAUUGUUGUGCUAGGAUAGCACCAAACCACGCGGAACCAAAUUAAGCUAACCCACAUAAAAUAUAUCAAAUGAAAUGCAAGAACAAUAUAGAGAAAAUAACACCAAGAUUUUAACGAGGUUCCUCUACAGUCAGUGUAACUGGAGUACGUCAUUGGAGCAGUAGGAGCUCACCCAAUAAUCCACUAUCAACCAAAUGGGAGUUUACAAAGUGUUGACAAUCUCACAACCCAUAAACCCAAUACACCCAAUAGCUCUCACACACCAAAGAAACAAAUAGAGAAAGAAAUAUAAUGAAUAAUUUCUUCUCUACACAUAUAGCUCAAAGCUAUUACAACAACAACUACUUUGGUGGAUGAUUACUAACCAAAGAGAGGAGCACUUUCUUCUUCUCUUCAAAGAGGAGCUGCAACUCUCUUUUCCUGCUGCUCUAUUCUCUCUGUAUUCAGCUCAAAACAUAAAAUGAGCUCCACACUUUCUACUCACCCUCCGUAGCUUUCUAUCUCUUUCUCUUCUCUAUUAUUAGGCUGCAAAGGCAACCACCAAAACAUAAAGGACCAAAACCCACGGGUGUAGAAGAGAAAGUUGCCUUUUCCCUUUUUUUUUCUCCCUAAAACAAGGAAGGAUGUUGUCCACCUUUUUCCUUUCCUUUAUAAUUUUACAAUAGCCGAAAGUGAAUGACUUAUUUGGCCACUUGGCCACAUACUCCAACAACCCCAAUGUCUUAUCUUUCCACUCAUCUUAUAUUCCCACCCACCAAAAAAAGUAAAAAAAAAAACCAUAUUAUUUUUCCACCUUCUAUUAUUCCCAAAGCACCCUUACCCCCAACACCCUGCUCAAUGGCCUCAUAUCCCAUCAUUACUGGUCGCUUAAAAAGCCCAGAUACCAUCAUAUCAAUGCUUGAUUUCCUUCCAGUAACAUGUCCUCCAUUCUAUUUUCAAUUCUUUGAAUUUCCAAAUAUGAAAUAAUUUUGAAACAAAAUUUUUAGAAUCUCUUUUUUUUCAUUUUUUUUUUUAAUUUCAGUUGCAAAGUUUUAGAAUCUCUUUUUUUUUUUUUAUACACCGAAUUCCUUUUGAAAAGAGUAGGUUGGUUAUAUACAAGUUUACCAUAGGAAUUACAGAGCUUAGGUAGUACAAGUUUUCCAUAGGAAUUACACCGAAUUCCUUUUUUAGUUACUGUUGAUUAUACAAUGUGAUUCCGUUUUUACCCCUUUUUUGUUUCUUUGGUCUUUUCGCUCUUCAGUCUUUUGCUUGGUUUUUGUCUAUCUGAGAAGGGAAUAAUCUAGAUGUACACGUGUGGAUCAUCUGGGAAGGGAAAGAGGUAGAAUAUACACGUGUUCAUUUAUCUUCCGUUAAAGAUUUGAUUGUUUAUUUCAUCUGGGAAGGGAAAGAGGUAGAAUAUACACGUGUUCAUUUAUCUUCCAUUAAAGAUUUGAUUGUUUAUUUAAUCUAGGAAGGGUAUAAUCUAGAUGUUCAUUUAUCCGAGAAGGGAAUGAUAACAACCACCACUAUUACAUCUCACAAUACAUAAAGAUUUGAUUGUUUAUUUAAAGUAUUUGUUGGCUUUUAAAAAUUUGUCCCGUUGUGAGAUUUUUCUUCCGUUAAAUCAGGCUUUUGUUGGGUGUGUGAGAAUGUGAAAAGUUUCUCUUUGUGUGAUUUAAAUGUUUUUUCUUGGUAGGCUUAUAUCAAACAAUAUUAACAAAUAGAUAUUUGUCGUAUUAGUAGUGUCAGUACCCACAUGACUUUGGACAUUAUUAAAUGGGACGGUGGGUAUUGGUCUCCUUGCCUCUUUUUUGUGUGUAUUUUAUAUUGGCAAAUAAGAACAAUGGGGUUGUAUGAAGAAAAGAUAGAUGGUCAACAGUAUACCCGGUUUUAGUAUAGAAAUAAUAAAUAAAUAUAAAUAUGCACUUUUGUUAUAUGUUAUGAUUUGUUGUAUAGAGAAUUGAGAAAAAAGUUAAAGACAAUUCCGUGUUUUUGAGUUACAGCAAUUAGUAAAUAUAUAAUGACAUUGAUUAGUUCACUUAAGAGUUUAAUCCUUCGUUGGUUUAUUUGUAUUGUGUGCCUGAGAAUGAAAGCAAUGGAUAAGGAAUUGUUCCUUUUAUUAGCAAUUAUAUGAAGUAGGCAUAUUAUGCAAUACAAGUUCUACAUUCAUUUAGUAAAUAUUGAGUUUAUUUUUAUCGAAUAGUGACAUUUGAUUCAGGUUUAAGGUUCUUAAAUGUUAGUAUUUUGAAAAUUGAUUUCAAUAGUCUUUUAUGAAUUUUUUUUUUUGCUUACAUAAUUAUGUGCUGCUUCAGGGACACCUACUGCAUUGGGCACAACUUAUUACGUUAUUAGACCCGGAUCUAAUUGCCUAAAAAAUAAUGAAUAGCUGUUUCCACUCUAAUUGCGCCGUUUUUAUUAUAAAACUUUCACACAUGUCGUAAUGUACAAAACAACAAAUAAUCAAAUGUAAAUUAGGUGAUAAUAUUAUUGUUAUUGACAGUGAGCUGAUGAGUCACUUUAAAUCAGAUGGGGUAUCAUUAGUUGACUUGGAACUAGUUGAAAUAAAAAGCGGCAUAUCUCUCUACCACCAAUGAGCACACACCUAGUAUCCCUGUACAGAAAACGAGCCAACUAAGCAUAGGGCUCAUUUGUCGAAAGAUUUUUCAAUGUUUUCGAAACACAUGCAUAUAUCUUAUAUGUUAUUAUACAAAUAGAUGGAUAUUUGAAGAAAAAAAUUAUCUCUAAUAUAAUGUCAUAUAGCGUACGGCGUGGUGUUUCAAGUACAUUGAAAAAUUUCUUCCAUUUGUCAUAUUGUUGAUGCUUUCAUUAAGGACUUGUUCCCCUCAUAAGUCUCUCCCACAUUUUAGGUCUAAACCGAAUGUCCCCCACCAAAAAGUAAUCUAGCAUGUAAAAGUGCAUGUGAUUUACAUUUAAGAAAGAGUGGUGUUAUUCACAAAUGUUUUUUUUUUAUCUUUUAUGCAUUUUUUUUUCAAUUGUUGAUUGUCGGAUAAAAUAAAUUAAAAAAGAUUAAAUAACAAAAAUUAACAGGACGUGUGCAUAUAGCACCACCGUCUGGAAAUAUAUAGCACUACUUAAAUGCUAUGCUCUCUAAGGUGGGAUCUCAACUCUCAAGUGAUGAAGAAUUGUGGAGUCACCGAGUGGAGUAACCGAGAUGACUCAAGUAGAAGCUCAUCUCCAAAAUAGAAGGAAAAAAAUGUUAAUUUUUGGGAUAAUGCUAGGAAGAUCAAGUUUUUAAACUAAAUUUGCAAAUCAAAUAGGCUUUUUUUAUUAGCAUCCUAUAUAAUGUUGAAUACACCUCCACAUUAAAAUUUAAUAUUAAAUGACUUAUAUACCCUACUAUGCUAUGACAACUUCGACCUUAUUAGGUUAUAAAAAAAAAAAACAAGAAAUUUCGAAAUACACUCCAAAUCAUUUUUAACUUAUUAUUUAUCUUCUUCAACUCUCAUAACCCGUCUCGCCCUCAAUUGUAGAAAAAAACAUUAAGCAAUGAAACUACAAACACACUAAUAUUGAGAACAAUUAUUUUUGACAAAUGGGACAUGAGAUUGACGUUUCGGAAAGCUUCAAGAUUUCUUGUUCAUGUGAAGUUUUGUUUACGUGAAGUUUUGGUUAUGUGACAGACAUCGAACGAUCAUUGUUGUUGAUGACCAACAGGUUAAACUAGUUGACGGACAGAAUCAAGGAGAGUAGAAGAGCAAUGCUGGAAACGGAGUAGCUUCAGGUCUCAAUCCUCCAAGAUUUCCAUCAGCAACGCCAGUCACUUCUGCAUGCACGUAAUAGAGUAUGAGUUAUGCCUUGUACACUCCGUUGAAUUAGGCUAAUGAGAAUAUGAGAUUGUUGAGGUGGUAACCCACAACACCUCGUUCAGGAUUUGCUGAACUAAAUCCCCUCAAGUUCAAAGUGGAGUUGUGCUUCACAUGUAGUUGGGAGAAAUUAGAAAAAUUCUGGUAUCCCACAUGCCUUCAGCUUCACACCGAAGGUGCUUUGGAUGAUAUUAUGUAUUAAUUGCACAUGAGAUGUAAAGAGUGGAGUGUAAGUAGGAAAUGUGAGGUGUAUAUAGAAAAUGUAAAGUGUAUUUUAAGAGUGGGGCGUGAGGGUACUAUGGAGAAACAAGUGGGGUGUAUUAAGAUAAUUUUUAACUAAAAAAACAAAUGUGUGAUGUAUUAAGUAUGUGCGGUGUGUUCAACAAUAUGUGUGGUGUUAAUAUAACAACCAUCAAAUAAUGUGUUACCAAUAGAAAAUAAGCACAUUAAUAACACUUAAGUAUCAAUCCAAUCAUCAACAACCAUAUCAUUUGGUUUAAAAUUUUGAUCUUCCUAACAUUACCCUAUUCUUUAGCAAAAACUUUUUACAAAAACAUUAUAAUUAUUACCUAACAGUAGGAAAAUAAAACUUAAUAGUAGUUUGAUGAAUCUUUUACCAUCUUGAUGAUCACCGUUUGUUUGUACCAUACUUAGGGCAUCUGUAUUUAGAUCUCGUAUAAAUACUUGGGGGACUUAAAUAUAAUUAUGUAAUAAAUGAAGGGGCAAAUAUGUAAAAAGGGGAGGAGCCCUUAGUCUAUAAAAGGGCCUCCUCACCCUCACAAUAGGGACAAGCUCUCAUAUUCAGAGCAAGCCCCUUCACCCUCUCAAAGCCUCACUCUCACAUUAUAGAGGCUCUCUCCCUCACAAUCCUCUCAGAGAAAUACAAUAUCAGUGUGGACGUAGCUCAAACAUUGGGGUGAACCACGAUACAUCUUGUGUUAUUUACUUUCUUGCAGAUUCACGGUCGGAUUUACGUUGUUCCAAGACCCCUCCAGUUUUGUGCAUCAAUAUUUGGCGCUGUUUGUGAGAAUCGAUACGAAAAGUUGUGUCGGUUCUCUUUCAUUUUUUCACCUCGACUGUGAAUCUGCAAAAUCACAAAAACCCAUAAAUAGAAAAGAUCAAAAUCUCAAACACUUAACACAAGCCCACAAGGAAGAUAAAGGUCGUUGCUUUUUGGGUUUUGGGUUCGUAUUCAGGAAACCCAGGGAAUCAAAUCUCUCUCUUCCUCUUCCUUUGUGAUCUUGUUAUCUUUUUUUUUUCCUUUGUUCUAUCAUAUUUCUUUGUAGAGGCAAGAGUUAAAAAGGCAUCAAGCCCAAAUGGAUCAGACGACUCAUCAUUAUUUUCUGCUGGUGCAGCUGAAGUCACAUCCUGCUUCAUUUGAUCAUCUUCAUCUGCUAUCUUUGUUCCAUCUUCCAGCACAGCUGCUUCCUUUCCCUCACGGUCGCCGGCCGACGAAUCCCGACGAUAUCAUCCUCCUGGAAAUGAGCAAAAGCAGACUUGGAGCUCGUAGAUUUCUUCAUCUUCUGCGGGAACUUGACGGGCACCUCGCUAGACGCCGGCUUGGUAUCUGACCUGACCCGGUUUAUGAAAUGGCUCAAGGUGUUUCAGAUUCAGAGGAAGAAGAGGAUCUUGAAGCAGAGGUUGAAGGUUUCUCCAGCUUUGAACUAGUUAGCCAUCGAAGAGGGAUCCGACCCGGUUCCUGAAAUGGCCCAAGGUGGUUCAGAUUCAGAGGAAGAAGAGGAUCCUGAAGCAGAGGUCGAAGGUUCCUCCAACGCCAGGAAGAUCGGGCAUAGGGAAUUCGCUACACUGUUCUACAGUCUUCAAAGUUGGAGGGGAAUAUUUAAGAGUUUCGACCGGGACAGAAGUGGGUUCAUUGAUGCAAAUGAGUUGAGAGAUGCACUGCUGAGUCUGGGAUAUUCUGUGUCACCUGUAGUUUUGGAACUGCUGGUCUCUAAAUUCGACAAGUCUGGAGGCAAAAAGAGGGCCUUUGAAUAUGACAAUUUCAUCGAGUACUGUCUGACUGUUAAAACAGUUGUCACUUUAGAGAAAAGCAAAAAAAGCAAGUGGGUGGUGUCAAGGCUGUCCAGGCAACUGUUACGUUUUACAGGAGAACAUGUAGGAAGUGGAGAGACAAAAGCAAAAGCAGAAACAAAAGCAAAAGCAGAAAGCAAAAGCAGUAACAAAAGCAAAAAGCAAAAGAAGAUAAAAAAAUUAAAAAAAAGCAGACAUAAUUGCGGUGGUGAUGGCAUGCAGAAAAGGGAAUUAUGGUUGUGACCUAUUGAACUGAGGGUCGGAUUUAUUUUUGAAUGAUGUGAUUUAUUUUUCUUAUCUUUCGAAGACAUCUGUAUAAACCCCACCAGAAGGUAAUCAUAAAAAAUAAAAAAAAAACAGCAAGCCUAAAAUAAUGGGCUAAAAUGUUUUGUAGAGGGCCAAGGCCCAUAUGCCCAAAAGAGCCAGGCCUUAUGGCUCCAAAUUUAUUCGGCACCCUGCCGCUAUUAUCAUCAACCAGGUGAUCAAAAGUACGCUUAGUACUCCAAAAUUAUUCGGCAACCUGCCGUUAUUAUCACCAACCAGGUGAUCAAAAGUACACCCAGUACUCCAAAAUUAUUCGGCACCCUGCCGCUAUUAUCACCAACCAUGUGAUCAAAAGUACGUCCAGUACUUCAAAAAUUAUACAUAAGCAUCACUCAUGUCAAUCAUACAUAAACAUUCAUGAGCAUCACUCAUGUCAAUCAUACAUAAACAUUCAUGAACAUCAUUCAUGUCAACAUUCAUGAGCAUUACUCAUGUCAACAUUCAUGAGCAUUACUCAUGUCAACAUUCAUGAGCAUCACUCAUGUCAAUCAGCUUCGAAAGCUUCAGUUACAGAGCUCCAGCUUCGGGAGCUCCAGCUUCGAAAGCUUCAUUUACAGAGCUCCAGCUUCGAGAGCUCCAGCUUCAAAAGCUUCAUUUACAAAAGCUCCAGCUUCAAAGCUUCACUUGCAAAGCUUCACCUACAAAGCUUCAGUGCAGGGUAUAUAAAUACCGCCUUCGAACAACCGUCACUACGGCCCAUACAUGGAUUGAAUUUGAAGUCUCCAGCCAACAACCUCUGUUGACUGAAGACUUGGGCAACUACACUAUGUACCAUAUAUUGGGCUUCCACAACUGGGCCUCAUGAAAAAUACUUGGGGGACUUAGCCCAUCAUUUAUGUAUCGAGGAGCGAGCCCUUUUUUUAUAAAAGGGACUCCCUCACUUUCAUUAGAGAGCACCCAUUAUUCAUGUACUGAGGAGCGAGCCUUUAUUUUAUAAAAGGGACUCCCUCACCUUCAUUAGAGAGCAUCGCCGUCAGCUGAGCAACCGCCUUGCCGCGAGCAUCACUCUUAACCCAUUAUUUAUGUACUGAGGAGUGAACCCUUAUUUUAUAAAAAGGACUCCCUCACCUUCAUUAGAGAGCAUCGCCGCUAGCUGAGCAACCGCCUCGCCGCAAGCAUCACUCCUAACCCAUCACUUAUGUAUUGAGGAGCGAGCCCUUAUUUUAUAAAAGGGACUCCCUAACCUUCAAACGCUACAAGCCAAGCCAACCAAGGCAACAUAAGCCACAAACCGAGCAGCCUCGCAAUAUGUGCUACUUCUAGUUGAGCAUCAUUUCACUUUGAGCACCACUUCAUAUCAAGUAUCAGUUCUAGACGACAAGUAGUUACUUCGGCCCACACAUGGAUUGAAUUUCAAGUCUCCAGCCAAAAGACUUUCUUGACUGAAGACUUGGGGGACUACUGUUUGUACCAUACUUAGGGCCUCCGUAUUUAGAUCUCGUAUAAAUACUCGGGGGACUCAAAUGUAAUUAUAUAAUAAAUGAAGGGGCAAAUAUGUAAAAAGGGGAGGAGCCCUUAGUCUAUAAAAUGGCCUCCUCACCCUCACAAUAGGGACAAGCUCUCAUAUUCAGAGCAAGCCCCCUCACCCUCUCAAAGCCUCACUCUCACAUUACAGAGGCUCUCUCCCUCACAAUCAUCUCAGAGAAAUACAAUAUCAGUGUGGACGUAGCCCAAACAUUGAGGUGAACCACGAUACAUCUUGUGUUAUUUACUUUCUUGCAGAUUCACAGUCGGAUUUACGCUGUUCCAAGACCCCUCCGGUUUUGUGCAUCAACACCGUUUCACCUAGCUGACAAACUCCACGUUAUCUCGCCGUUAGAAGAUUUUGGGUUCAAACUACCUUGAAUAUCGACUCCAGGCAUUUCUUGUUGGUUAAGAAAAGGUUUGGGGGGCAAUUUUAGGUUUUCAACAUCUCCUCCAAGCAUUUGUAUGACUUUGUCCAUCGAAGGGCGAUCACUUGGCUUCAUUUGAAUACACCAAAAAGCAGUCAUAACCAUCUUUUUUAUCAUUAUCUUUUCCUCCUCUGUAACAUUGCCCAUCUCCAAGAGAUCAUUUCCCUCACUAUAUUGAUCGUAAGCCCAUAACGGGAAGUAAUCUUGGCUCGAAUGCUCUGCGAUUCUACUAAAAUUUUUCCUUCUACUUGCCAUUUCCAUCAACAACAUUCCAAAACUAUAGACAUCAGCUUUGUAUGAGACCCCUCCAAUAUUUUUGUAGAACAACUCUGGAGCAAUAUAUCCCAUCGUCCCUCUUGCUGCCGUCAAAGUAACAAUGCUAUUGUCUACGGGAUAUAAUUUUGCAAGCCCAAAAUCGGAGAUCUUCGGGUUAAAGUUCUCGUCAAGAAGAAUGUUAUGAGGCUUGAUAUCAAAAUGUAGAAUUUGCAUGUCACAACCUUGAUGUAGAUAUUCGAUCCCUCGAGCAACUCCAAAAGCAAUCUCAUACAUCUUCUUGCAACUUAAGGGGAUACUUCCUUCUUUGGAAUAAAUGUAUUUAUCAAGAGAGCUAUUAGGCAUGAAAUCAUACACUAGAGCUCGCUUUGAUCCUUCAACACAAUAACCAACAAGUUGCACCACAUUAACAUGGUGAAUCCUUCCAAUAGUAGCUACCUCACUAGUGAAGUCCUGCCCAUUGUUUUUAGGCUUGCCCAAAAGUUUAAUCGCCACAAAACGACUGCUGCGUAACUUUCCUUUAAAUACAGAACCGUAACCGCCUUGGCCCAACUUGUCCUUAAAUUUAUUAGUCAUUCUCUUAACGUCCGAGUAAGAGUACCUUAUUGGCAUGAAGUUGUUUUCGGUUUGCAGAAAAUCUUCGAUGAUGCUAAACCCUGACAAAUGUCUUCUUCGCCAUCUAUAGAUCAGAAAUGCAAUCACAAAUGGAACCCCUAAAAGUAGUCUUACUGCUAAAAAUAAACCUGCACAAGAGAUUUAUUAUCACCAAAAGAGUGCCAGAGAAAGUAAACUGAAAGUGAGAACAAUUAAAAGCUCUUACCGAGGCAAAUCAAUGGCAACCAUCCAUUUUCUGCAACAAAUAUGGUAACAGUACGAAUUGUCAAAAGCUUAAGUAUAAGUUAUAAAAGUGAAUCAAACGAAUAAAAUCAAAGACUCGAGAUAUAAUAUAUAUGCAAGAAAUACAAGUUCUUACUGAAGGAUAUCGCCCGAAACCAAAGAAACUUAUCUGCAACAAAUGUAAAACGCAAAGUUUGAGAUUGCAAGUCCAAACAUAUGAUAGUAAAAACUAGUGAAAAACAAAGUAAAACUGAGUUUAAUGUGACUGCUCUAGCAAAAUACUUGUAGCUCAGUUGGCUACGCACAUUCAUCAUUUCGCUAGAGGUCGGCGAGUAUAAUUUUCCCUCUCCUAAAUAUCAUUUGUAUAAAAGAAAAGAAAAUUGCGACUGUUCUUUGAAUUGACAAUUGUCGUCUAAACAAAAAGAAGAAAGAAAGAAGAAAUGAAAGAAACUUUUGGAUAGAAAGUUCUUACCAAUGUAGAAGCUUCCACGAGCAAAGAAAACUGCAGGGAUGAAUCAUGAAAAGAAAACAUUAGUCCACAUUCAAAAUCAAGUUUUAGCACAUGUACUCGCCAAGAAAUGAUGUUUGAUGCAUUUUACUCUCUUUUUUGUCAAGAUUUUUGUAUGACAUGUACAGAAAAUCCAUAUUUAUUUUUGGUUUAUCAUAUUUUACUUUUUUUUAAUAAUCUAUACUAUUCAAGGGCAAUGUUUGGAAUGCAUUUGGAAGGGGAAAAAUCACUUCUGAAUUCUGAUUGUGUUUGGCUAAGAACUUAAAUGUGUUUUUGGAUCAUAGAAGCUCAAUUUAGAGAGGCAUCUUUGAGAGGUAGUGCUUCUUGGAAAUGCACUCGGGUUUUUAAUUAAAAUUUCAAUAUUUAUAUAAAUAAAAAGCACUUUUAGUAGAAGUGCUUCUGAAAGAAAUCAAUACCAACAUUAUUUUUAUAUUAACUCAUGUAGCCAGUAAAGAUUUGUUUGGUUUGCUUUCUUUCAAAAAACAUUUCUGCUCAACUUGUGCAAGAAAAAUGUUUUCCGUUGCAAACAUGUUGAAAUUUUCUUACAAAUCCAAUUGAUUUUUGACAAAGAGCUUUAAAGUGCUUUCUGAAGAUGCAAUGAUAGAUGUUUCUAAAAGGAAAAACGCUUAUACGAGCGAAAAAGAAACUUUUAUGUCUUUACCAAACGCAAUUGGAAGUGAUUUUUCACCUUUCAAGAGCAAUCCAAAUAUGCCAUUCUUCAAAUAUAAUUAACCAGAGUUUGAAACUAUUUCCUAGAAGGGUUAAACCUCUUGUUGUGAACCAAGAAGCUGUAACAGAAUAACAUUGGAAUAAAAAAUGAAGAAGAGGGAGACUAAUUAAUGAGGCGAACUCCCUUACCGUAAGUCGCCUCCCCCAGAAAUCGAAAGAAACCUACAGUGACAAAGAAGUAGACAACAUUAGCAAUUCAGCACACAGAGUUGGAAGAGUUUUUCUAAAAUUGUAUAGAUUCCCACCCAAAAUCUGUGUUCGUCUGCAUUUCUAAAUCAAACAUUGCCUUCAUGCCUGUUGAUCGAUAUUUCUACGUAGUUCCAAUUGUGUGUGUGUGUGUGUUUAGAGACAAAAAUUUAAAACUAAUGCAUGAAGUCAGAUACCCAAUUUGUUCUACCUAAAGUGGAAAUUUAGUAUUAGGAAAUGGGAAAUAAAACAUCCUGAACUAAGUAAAAGCUUUUUAGCUUCGUUUUCAGUUUUUGUUUUCAUUUUUUUUGAAAUGGAAAACUGAAAACAGUUACUGGUUAUCAAUCGUAUUAACAACCUAGAUAUAGUAAUAAGGUUGGAACUAAUUUUAAUAACAACUCAAACUUUUGGAUUGGUCUUUAUAUUCUAUGAGAAUUCACGCACCUGGGAUGCUGUGUGGGAAACAUUUAAGAUUAAUCCACCAUUGACACAUUGGACCCAUUUCAUCAACACUAUAUACUCGAAGCUCAAAUCCAUACAUGAGCGCCUUGUGUAUGUUUUCAUAAGAGGUGUUGUAGUCCUUGACGUAGCUCGAGAGCGCGAAAGUCAUCCACUCUGCACUGCAACCCUCAUCCAAAUCCCCUACUUCCAUCCAACCGACCUUGACGUAGCUAUACGUUUUUGGUUGGCUCGAAGAAGAAGCACUUGCAUCGAAGCAUGGAGCAGUGUCCACAUACACAGAAGAAUUCAUUGGAUUCGAACACUUCAAGUAAAAUAUAACUGUUGAAAGCUGUGAAUCCGCUGUGUAAUUACCAUGAAAAUUAUAUGGAGUAGACGUAAAAGGCAAAAGCGGAAAAUUUCGAGACAUGGAGGAGCAAUUGUUGUUCUGAAGACCAGGAUCUAUGAUGCGGAUUGUUUGGUUAUCAUAGUUGAUUGCCUGGACAUGGUAUUUUCCGGAGGAAGGUAGGUCUACUACAGUAAUGUUGUUCUCACAAGACAGCGUAUACAGAACGUGGCCGCAGUGCUUUGGACCAUCUUUUAGUCGAAAAGGGUAGCUUAUGUUGUGAAUAUUUCCGCAGGAGAAGGUACAGUUUGUACUAUCAUCCUUUGCUCUACAAGUUUCACAGGAUAAGCCAACGACAAGAAAAGCUAUAAUCAAUAGCCAAGCAGACCAAGUGAAGGACCUGCUUCCCCUUAUUCCCAUGGAGAGAGAAAGAGAGAGAUCAGAGAGAGAGAGAGAAAGAGGGUUUGAUAAUCAAACUAGCUUUCCUACGUAUUGAAUGACAUUUAAAAAAAUAUCCAAAACAGAAUCAUGCGUUUACUAAUUAAGCUUUGAAAGUCGUCUGAAUACGUAAGCGAUGACGAUUAGAGAGUCAAUCAAUGUAGAUAAUACUGCCAUUUCAGCCUGAUUUAUUUGACUUAAUUGUCGAGUGUGAUUUUCUUUCUGUAUUUUAGUCCCGACUUUUCAAAUGAAAUGAUGCACACCUUUCGUUUUCUACUUAAUUGAUUUAUUUUCUUUCAACACAACACGUAACCACUGUCAAGGCUCCAAUCUUAUGCACGAGUUCAUGUUUAUCGCUCCAUUAAACACCCCUCAAUCCUAGCUCUGCUUAGAGAAAAAUAAAAUCUCUGUAGGCAUUGUAAGCUCAGAGAUGCAGCAAUUGACCAUCUCUUCCUUUUGCGUAUUAUUGUUAUUGGCCUUCAUCGAAGGGGUCGGGGGAAGCCACAUGCGUGCACAGAGUCCAAGUGCGGCGAUGAUCAUGGCCUGGCUAUCCAUUUCCCAUUGCGCCGCUGGCAUCAUUGUGGGGAUAAUAAGAUUGAAUGCAAUGGGAGAUAUGAGACGGUACUAAUAAAAUUCCUUGUCAAACACAUAGAUUACAAGUAUCAGGAAAUCCAAGUAUAUAAUUAUAACCCAGUUAAUUGCCUGCUGUUGAAGCCUUUGGAAAUCACCAAUACGGUAAUCUCUCCCUUCUACUUCCUAAAUGGCGUACUUAAUGUCACCUUAUUCCGUUGCCCUACUCUUGUUGAAAGAGAUACAUAUGGUGGCUUUCAAGUCCCCUGCCUUGGUGGCCACGGAGACAGAAUUUAUGGCGUCUUUUCUUUCAUUGGAUUAUUUGAAAGCUUCACACGUCUACAGUCUUGUACAAGGAUGUAUGAUGUUUUAUCAGUUCCAGUUGGCGAUUGGGUAAAUGGCAGUCUUAUUCUUCAAUUCAAAUGGUCAAAACCGAAUUGUACAGAAUGUGAAGCUGAGGGCAAGAGGUGUAGAUUGAUGAACAAUGGCACCACGAGCGAAAUUGGAUGUGUUCCCCAUACGAAACCAAGUAAGCAUAACAUGUAAAUCUAUAUUUCGCAUAAAUUCUGCUCAUGAUUUAUUAUUAUUUUUUUUUCAAAGAUGAUGAUCAAUAUACUCUGCUACCUGCUGUGAUUUUUCUCCCUUCAUGUAAUUAGUGGCUUAUAUAUGUGGUGACGAUAUUAAUUAAUUUCGAUAACUGACAGUCUAAUUUUCACAACUAUUUUUUGCAGGCAAAACAAAGACGUUUGUGGCCACAGGUGAGUUGUGUAAGAGUGGUGUUUAUCUUUGUUUCAUUUCCAAAGGACACUCGAGAAUAAAUGUUUACUCAUGGAUUGAAUCUAUCUAUUUGCAGGAGCAACCCUGGGUUCAUUUGUUCUGUUACUAGGGAUCUUUGUAGCAUAUCAUGUCUAUAGCGCUGAUCAAAAGGAAAAAGAGAAUCGAUUAAAACUUGAAACAUUUUUAGCGGACUACAAAGCUCUCAAGCCAAGCAGAUAUUCAUAUGCAGAUAUUAAGAGGAUUACAAAUCAAUUCAAGUACAAAUUAGGCCAAGGAGCCUACGGAACUGUUUUUAAAGGAAAACUUUCUUCUGAAUGCUUUGUUGCUGUGAAGGUACUUAACAAUUCUAAGGGCGAUGGGGAAGAGUUCGUAAAUGAAGUGGGAGCAAUGGGUCAUGUUCACCACAUCAAUGUGGUUCGCUUGGUUGGUUUUUGUGCAGAUGGAUUUAGACGAGCUCUGGUUUAUGAGUUCUUUCCCAAUGGUUCACUCCAGGAUUAUAUUUCAUCAGUAGAUAGAAAAAACUCUUUCCUUGGUUGGGAUAAGUUGCAAGAUAUUGCUAUCGGCAUUGCCAAAGGAAUAGAAUAUCUUCACCUGGGAUGCGAUCUACGAAUCCUCCAUUUCGAUAUCAAACCCCACAAUAUUUUGCUAGACCAAAACUUCACACCAAAAAUCUCUGAUUUUGGUCUGGCCAAGUUAUGUUCCAAGGAUCAAAGCAUAGUGUCAAUGACUACAGCGAGGGGGACCAUGGGCUACAUUGCACCCGAAGUGUUUUCCAGGAAUUUUGGAAAUGUGUCUUACAAGGCAGAUGUCUAUAGUUUUGGAAUGCUUCUGCUUGAGAUGAUAGGAGGAAGGAAGAAUAUUGGUUCAACCACAGAGAGCACGACCAAUGAAAUUUACUAUCCAGAAUGGAUUUAUAACCUUCUAGAGGAAGGAGAUGACCUACGAAUCCAUAUCGGGGAAGAAGGGGAUGGUAAGAUUCCAAAGCAACUUGCAAUUGUAGGGCUCUGGUGCAUCCAGUGGCACCCGGUGGAUCGUCCUUCCAUGACAACUGUUGUUCAGAUGCUAGGAGGAGGAGAAAACUUGAGGAUGCCUCCUAAUCCUUUUGUUUCUGCAGGUCCUAUACAAACAUCACAGGCAGGCAUCCCCAAAAGGCGCCUCCUAGAGUUAGAAGCAAUUGCUGAAUUAGAGUAACAUGUAGAUGUAUACCACAAACCAGUAGUUCAUAGAUGAAUUCAAGCGCAAACAUUUGUUAGUGUAUAAGCCAUGAGCUGAUUACAUUAGUAAUAAUGUCUUGUAUUUAGUUGUGUAUUCACUUGAGUUAUAAAUUACUAAGUGUAGGGCUCAUAUUGUAAUUGUCUAUUGACAUGUAUUUGAAUCCUAGAAUCCAGCUAGAUGUGUGGCUGAGAUCUCUUUGAUGUAAUGGUGAGAAUCCAGCUGCAUAACUAGCCGUUAUGCAGUGCACGAUUUCGCGUGCAAGAGAGAGAAAUAGAAGUAUAUUCCUGUGUGUAUUUUGCAGAGAGAACUAUCCAUCCUUCUCUCAAAUCCUUCGGUGAUUGUUCUUCAUUCUUUCAGUUUUUUUAUACACACACACAUCCAAACUGUAACAACAUUUACGGACGACAGUUCUUUACUAAUUAAAUCACUUUAAAGUAAGAAUUUAAUUAUUAUAACAUUAUUGCACUUUCUUAACAAUUUGAUAUUCACCAAGUUGACGAUGAACAUGUUAGCUCCAUGUUAGAACACAUUGGGUUCGAUUUAUUUUCUUGAAUAUCACCCAGUCACAGACGUCUCUUGUGGGCAUAGAGAAGGCCUGAGAAGCAAUUGCAGACAUUCAACAUCUCUUCAAGCAUUUCGAUGACUUUGUACAUCGAAGGGCCAUCACUUGGUUUCAUUUGAAUACACCACAAUGUGGUUAUAAUUAACCAUCUUUCUCUUCCUCCUCUGUAACUCAUUUUCAGACACCAACCGUUAGAUUUCACUUCAUAUUUAUACGACUUUAGGCCUUAACGACUAUACAUAGCACUGCCAUUGUUGAAAAGGUCUAGCGGUUUUAUCUAUUUUACUGUAACAUGUUUUGUGAGGUUGAAUUCUGUAACACUAUAUUUUUUACCUGGAAACUAUGUAUACGUAUCACUUAUCUUGCUGUAUAGCAUGUCAUCCCCACCCAAGUUUUUCUCUUCACAUUUAGUAUGGAAUACCAAAAUUUUCCUAACAAAGCCAAUUAAUUCAUAUGCAAAAAUAAUUAUUCGGCCGCCCUUUACUUCGAAUGUUAGUCAGAUGAAGCAAUAUGAAUCAUAAACUAAACACAAUAGUUUGGGAUGUAGAUGGACGUGCAUGGGUGCUUGGUGAAUCAAGAAACUUAAUGGAUCUUGGAUACCAAUGGUCAACACGCAUACAAUAUAAGUUAGGAAUGAAGAUUGUCGUAUCAGUUGGCUAUACCAAAAGAGUUUUUGGUAUCUUCAGGAUUAUUCUUUCAUAGAAAUUUGCAAAGAUGAGAAAGUUGAACUAAUCAAAUUUUAACAAGUUUGAAAAAUCAACUAGUUAUAUAUAAGAGGAUCAUGAUUGAUGUGUUACGUUGAUUUGAAGAACGGUCUUAAAGUUAUGGAGUGAGACAUUCAUUUAAAAUCAACUAUUUAUAUAUAAGAGGAUCUUGAUUGAUGUGUUACGUUGAUUUGAAGAACGGUCUCGAAGUUAUGGAGUGAGACAUUCAUUUAAAAUUAGCAAAAGAAUGUAACAAUUAGAAAAAGGGUUGUCUAAAUGGUGGGGUACUUUUACUUUUUAAGUUUUUAAGGAACAAAAGUGGCAGGUUCCAAGUUAAAAUAAUGCAAUUUUCACACAAUUAUGACAAAGAAAGAAGUCUUACUUUGUAAGCGAUAGAGAUUCUUACGUAUGACUUAUGACACCCCACACUUUUUCUACGACAAGUGGGCCUUGGUGGUACAAAAUUACAAGUGGGAUUUGUGUGUGUAGCCGAUCUAGAGGUCAUACACCAGAUUAAGAUUUCCUCCGUUACGUAACUCCAUGAGUCCCAUAAAUUCAUAUUGGUUUGUACCAGUUCAAUGACACUUCAACGUCUGACUAAUGUUGUAAGAGGUUUGCGACAGCCAAAUGUCAACAGUAUGAGAUAACUUAAAACACAUAUGAAAGAAAUUUUUUAUAUUUUAUUUUACUUUUUUACUGGUGUGACGAAAUGUAUGUCAAAACAACGAGAAAUCAAACUAUUCUAUUUCUGUAAAAAUACCCAAAUAUGAAUGAAAUCAAUUACAAUCGAAGACUUAUAUAUAACCAAAACAUUGCUUUUAUACUAAAAGGUAUUUGUGUCGAUUGAAAUGACUUUUUGGCUACAUAUGAUAUUUUUUUAUAAAAACUGAUAUUUUUAAAAUUACGGGUCGAUUUUUUCUUAUAUUUGAUAAAUACUUGCGUCCAUGUGCCAUGAACAUCUUUCUCAUAUGUUGGGAGUCACCGGAUAUGCAGAAUCAAUUAGGAAACGUUUAAUUAAGAAGAUAAAGAGGUCCCAUAAUUAAUUCCGAAGUAUUGAGCAGCUCACGUGCAAGAAAAGUUUGGGUUUUCCAUGUGCAGGAGGUGGAAUUUGCCUAUGUGUCCCGUGCAACAGAGUAACCUUAACAUCCUGAACGACAUCAGAAGGGUACUCGUUUAAAAAAAUGUACUUUGAGUCGAGGACCCUCCAAAUAUCGUUCAGGAUGUUUUCCUACAAGAUCUUAAGUAUAUUCCUUCUAAGUUCCUAUUAUCAUUUCCACUUAAUAAAAAAAUAAAAACUUCUUAAAUGACCUGAUGAAGGUACUCAACAGGAGAAAAUUGAAGCAAUAAUCCCUGAACUCAAAACUCGUGAGUAUUGAUUUCUAAACUUAUUAUAAUGUGGAACAAUGAUCAUUUUAGCUAGUCCCUCUAAACCCUUUAUUUUGAAAGGAAGUUCUAACAUAGUUAGCAAAAAGAAUCAUUGCUUCACAUUACCUCACGGAUUGUUAGUUUAGGAACUAAAGCUCUGAUUAAUCUAAAGUUCAGGGACCACUACUUCAGUUACCUCGGUGAACAAAAUCAUCCCAAAAAUUCAAAACUUCAUGCAGAAACCACAACAAAAAAUAGAUUAGGAGUCCAAUACCAAGACAAACAAUUCAUCUAUAAAAUUUAAGGGAAGUGAUUUUCACACAAUUUUUCUUCCAUUGCACAACUAUGUUUAUUUCUAGCCGUAGAAUCAAUGGACAUAAAUAAACCGACUGCGCAGAAGGAUACGAGAGUGUGAAAAUCAUUUCCCAAGUUUAAUCAUUUAACAGAAACCCAUUCCCACCCAAACACAGGACAUGUAUAUCACUACAUCUAAUACAACCAUAGCACCAGUAACACAUAAAAUUCAUAAGGAUCAACUACGUUUAGUCAAAACUAUCGAAAACUUAGCAGGCUUAAAAUGUUUUAUUACAUACGAAACCAUUAGGCAAUUCUUCAAUAUUCAUUCCAGCAGAGAAUAAGCAAAUCAACCAAAAGCAAACAAACAAAUCACUAAGAAACAGUAUGCGAUGCAAGCUGAAUUUUGAAUGAGAUCCUAUUUACAUUACCCGCAGCAUAACAUAUAUAAGUUUCAUCAUAAAUGUGGAACUUUAUGAACCAAAGUAAGCCACGAACAUGAUACGAGCAGAAAAUGACACUCUCAACAGACUCAAUGGAACUGAUUGGGAUCUGGGAAACGGGUGGGGUGGGGUUCUGGAUUUUGAGAGCACGGAGCUCUUCAAGCACUGUCUGUUGGAAGUCUUCCUGUCGAGAACGGUGGAUUGACAGAUCGGUGAUAGAGUGUUGCAGGUCAGCUAUGUGGUGUUGAAGAUCGUCGUGACGGAGAUUCAUCAUAGUUAGUGUCUCAUGGAAUUCCUGGAGCUGUGUGAAAAUUUGCUGCUGGUGAAAUUCCCUUUCAAAUUCCGCCUCAGGGACGUCGGCCACCUGCACUGACGCCUUGUUCUUGCCUAUGGAAGCACAACCUGGCUCUUGAUACCAAAUGGUAGGUACCAAUCACACAGAGGAAAGGGAAAUAGGAAUAAAAGAGAAAAGCAGAGAAAGAUAAAAGACUAAUUCAUUUCAUAAAACCAAAAGGGAGAUACAGAAGAGGCAUAUAUCUCCAUUAGCCCAAAACAGACAAAAGAGAACAGUGCUGAGUCACCAGCCAACAACCAUUACAAAUAUCAUAAAGGGCAAUAAAGAUAAAGUAUUAAGGUCCUGAUAAGGUUCCAACACUGACCCUGCGCACUAACCCAUUAAUAAUCCCAAAAAAAUGCACACAGCCAUGCUUUCUCCUCUCUCUGUCUAUCUCUUCUCCCUAUCCAUCUCUCUAUAAAAUCACAAAUCCCCCAAAACCGGACCUAACAUACUAACCAAUCAGAAAAUCCAAGGCAACAUUAAAGAAUACAAUUUAAAAAAGAAACUUAUCUUUGGAUUUGAGGCAUGCAGCGCAAGAUCCGGCACACCCCACUCUCAGUAGGGUUUGUUGAUGACCCCUACCCCAUCUCCCUGAAAUCCCGACGACCCAUAUGGUCUUCUCUGACCAUACCCACCCUCUCAUCUGCAUCAACAGUGUCGAGACCCCUACCCCUCCCCCUCGCUCUCCUUCCAUUGCCAUCUCUCUCUCUCUCUCUCUCUCUCUCUCUCGCAGACCCUCCCCGAAACCCUAAUUGAACGGCAGCAAAUGAUAGUUUCCCGCUGACCCCCUAUCUCACCCAAAGCAGAGAGGACAAAAUUGCCUUCCAUAAUAGACCAUCUCCACCAUUGGAUUGUAAUCCUUGAUGGCAAAAACGUAAUUAAAUAAUUUGGACCUUACUGAGGGUCGGGCUUCCCAACUAAAGCCAACAUAUCGGGCUGCUGACCCAAAACCAACAGAAAUACCAAUGGCAUCGUUGUAAUUAAUCUGAAAUUCGGAUCAAAAUACUAUUCAUUUCUAUAGUGCCAAUUCCAAACCUUUCUUUAGACUAAAGUAAAGUAAUAACCGAUUAAAAUUGGAAUAAACCAGUCAAAACUCAUCACUAGCACAAGUAUCUGGUUGAAGUAAUAUAUACGAAUUAGAAGAUAUUCUUCAGUUGAAAUGGGGAAGUAGAAACUUCAAUUACAUUACACAGACUUUAACAUUAGCUGAUACACAAUCAAUCCAACUUCCAACAGAUACGCUAUCAUCUUCACAAAUUGUAGGACAAGAAAACAUAACAGACUCGUUCCAAGACUUCAUCACUGCAGAUUCAAUGCAAGAAUUGAAACAAAAGCUUCCCCGAAAACAAGAACUGGCGAACAAGACAUCAUCAAGGCAGAUUUUAAAAUGCUCCAUAUUCAUGAAAAAUUUAAAGAAGAUGCAUGGGUCAAACCUAAAACCUCUCACUUACAAGUGAAGAGGAAUACCACUAGACCAUAGUACUAAGUGGCUAGGUGAAUGGACCAAACCGUCAUUCUCCAAGAAAAGGGAGGGACCUUUUUGUACAACCAAAAACUUCUCUACAUAUUUAUCCUUGGAAUGUAUAUGCUUUUAUCAAAAGACCGCACUUGGCAUGCAUAGUUCAUUCAUUUGGCACCAAGGCCCCAUGUUUAUGCGCACGCAAAAGCGCACACAUGCACUGUUCCAUACUUCGACUCGGAAAACAAGUACUGCAACAUUACAAAUAAUCAUACAAAAAUAAACUCAACUUUCAAAUUGUUAGCCUAAAACUUUUAUUCAACACACCAAUAAGCGUAUACGUUUUCCAUAACCAGAAGUAGAGGGGAAUGAGUAGUCUGUCAUACACCGAGCAAUAACAAAGAAACCGAUGAACUUGACUAACUUCUGCAGUCUCAUAACCAAUCUGGAAGGAAAACAAGCGAUGAAUAGAAAAGGUCACUUUGCUAAUAACUUAAUUUGUAUAGAAAAUAACAAUAGAGGGGACAAAAAGGUUAGCUCGUUGAAAACCAUACUAAGCAUCCACUCUAGUAAAGCAUGAACUAGUACUAACAGAAAGUAGAGUCGUAAAUUCCAACAGUGAACAGAAAGAGAACUAUGGAAACUUAUUAUGGGAGGUUCUGUCAGUCUGGAUAAAUCAGAAAGUACGUAAACGAAAAACCAAGAGCAGAUUACACCGAAUUGCCAAAGCAGCAAAUUAACAAGAUUAAGAAAAACAGAUCAGAGAGGACAGGCAGAAAUAGAUAAGGAUACACUAUGUUUUAAUUAUAAGUCCUACUUCUGAUACUGCAAAUAUUGUUCGUCUUCACAUGAUAACUAGCACUAUCUCUAGACAGACAGCGUUACCCCGUUAAUCUAUAUAGUGUAAUAUAUCCAUGCAUACCUCUGUUAUCAAAUGGUAUGAGCAAUUAAUGCAACCUUCACCGAGAAGGCCAAACACUAGCCACUGAAUUUACAGAUAUGAAAAUAAUACACCUAAGUAAUUAUUCCUGGAAAUGAGCUACCAAAGAAAAACUGAUUUAUGCUUAAAAUAGAUCAUCUAUGGAUAAAAAGUAAGGCUGACUAAAAGGAAGUCAUCUAACAGCACUCAGCACAUCAGCCGCCAUAACAUUAUAAAGCCACUGUCGAAUUCUAGAGACCUCUUCAAGGUACUUCUUGGAGCCAGAGAUAAAAAAAAUCAAAAGGGGCGAGGGGACAAGAAUUCCUUCAUUUCUAAACGAAAUUUGAGUAACGUUGACACUACUAAAUGAUUCAAGAAAACUGAGUUCUAGUGUAAACAGGAAAUUGUCUUUCAAAAGGUCCACCAGGGUGCCAUUGAAUAGACAAACCAAUAAGUUCAACCUUUGUUUCGUCCAAGCACAAAAUUCUCUCUAGAAAUACAUCGCCCAUAUUCUUAAUGAUCCACGGAAACUAUGAGUCGUUGGUACAGGGACGUUUUUCCUAAAUCCACAGAAUUAAAUUCCUCCUCUUCAUAACCCUUCUCCUUUGAAAAAUUCCAUACAGAUUGCUAAGUCUAGUGUUUUUGGAAGCAGAAGCCAUUUUAUUGUUUUAAAAGAAGCAUUUGCAAAAGAAACUUAUUUAUCACAUUCGCAUACAGUUUCUUCCUCUAUUUUUCCUGAAAGUUAAUUAUUGAGCUUCAAAGCUCUUCUCUGUUUCGGGCCACUGCUUCCUUUCUUCUAAUCAGAACAUAUUUCCAAUUCCAUCGUUUUCAAACACCACAACAAACUUCUAGAAAUGGUGACAACUGCCAUCCAAGACGGCCAAUUUUCGAGCUUUUAUAGACAAGCUCUCGGCAUUGCUGGCAACAGGCUUAGCAAAGAAUUCUAAGCUGUUGUAUCAAACAAUUCCAUAUAAUCUCAUCCACAUUGACAUUUUUAAGAGUCUGACACUCACAACCGAAACUUCUACAACUCAAAAACUUAGCUUCUUGAUAAUUACCAAGGUUUUCAUUUCCCAGUUAAAUAUUUUCGCCAUUUCCUCAGAGCAUCAAAUCUCUUGCACAGCACUAACGUUCCAAUUCCGUAAGAAACCCAUUUCGGUAACAAAGAAAUGACACAUAAAUAUUCAAAAAAAUUGCAAAAACAUAAAAAUUAACAGACCUGAAUGACGGAAUACGCACAAUUUCGAUUUCAUGACGAAACCCAUUUCUGAAAGCGAAGAAAUUGCGAACAAAAAAAAGAGAAAACAAUGGAAACGAAGAGCUUGGAGGCGCACCGUUUUGGGAGGCUACCAAGACGCUUUCUUCACGCCAUUGAGCAUGCCUUUGGAGGCAAGAGAACGGAAAACGAUACGGGACAUACGGAAGGUCUCGUAGACGGCGCGUGCGCGGCCAGAGAAGAUGCAGCGGUUCCUAACGCGCGUGAAGGAGCUGUUCCGGGGCAGCUUGGAGAGCUUGAAGCGGUUCUCCUCGCGCAGAUCGCUGGGAAGGCUUGGGUCCUUGCAGAGGGCCUUGUACAGGUUCCGUCUCAGCUCGUAUUUCGCCGCCAGCAAGCGGCGGUGGUGGUCCCGUAUGUUGGCAUUUUCCUCAGACACUGACAUCCCUUUUUUGGGUCGAAUACUUACCCGCACUCUCUGAUUUUGGUUGAUGUCGGGUCCUAGGGUUUUA